rnacentral:lncRNA from 1 species
GAUGAGGACAUGACUACCUUGGAUAAGACCAAAACUAUUGCAUACAUGCAUAUUUGUCAGGUGAUUUCUAGUGCAAACUAUUUAAUAAUAUAUUUAUGUUAUCCAGAACAAAAAUACUUCACAUACUUUUGUGUUUUGUCUAAUUGCAGGUGUAUGGGACAUUUGUACAAUCCACAUAUGAAGAUAAGGGAAAAGGAUAAGUUUAGGUGCUGUUCAAAAAGUCUUCUCACGCCACUUUUGGGCCAAGAGAAGAUAGAGUCCAAGUCUCUCACAUUCUGGAUUCAGAUUCGGACUACACAGACAUACCUGACUCAAAACGACAACAACUUUUUCAUACGGACUCCGAAUUGGGUGAUUCUUUUUUUGUUGGAAAGUAGAUUUCAUGCUCUUUCCAGCACAAUUGGAAUCACCUUAAAAUCCGUCCGGAGCGUUGAGUUAUGGACGAAACAAUCUGACGCUGCACCAGAAUCCGAGUCAAACUACAAGUCCAAAGGUGUUACGUCACCUCCACUUGGGCCCAUUGGCCUUGUACGACCUAGGGUUAGUUUUAGGAUGCCUUGGGACGUCCUCCCACCUUCUUAGCCGCCACCCCUUGCUCCUAUAUAAGUAGAUCCAUCUAGUAGCUUUUUCCUUGGGUUUUGUUUAGAUUAAAAGUUCGCCAUAGCUGCAACUUCGCGUACUUCGUUUGUGUUCAACGACCAGACAAAGGCGUCACAGAACCCCACCUUGAUCAAUAAAGCUUUCAUCUUAUAUUCGCAAUAUCCAGAUUGCAAUCUCAGUUUCUUGCUUGUUCUUCGUUUGCUCGCAGGAAACAGACCCUCGUGGUCAGGUUGAUCGUGCUCCGGCGUGGUCAAUAACCUCUCAGAGUUGGUUUAGCGAUUGCUAAGGCGCGACGUCCUCGCACGUUCGUAGUCGGAUCGUCAAAGUCGACUGCCACCAAAGCAAUAUCCAUCAUCUCAUCAAAAGACGGGACACCUUUGCCUCUAUCAACGUGUCGCUGAAAUGUACUCUAGGCUUGCUCUCAUCACAAAUGAGAUUGCCGGCCUAGGAAGUGAAGAGAUGACCGACAGAUUCAUCNNNNNNNNNNNNNNNNNNNNNNNNNNNNNNNNNNNNNNNNNNNNNNNNNNNNNNNNNNNNNNNNNNNNNNNNNNNNNNNNNNNNNNNNNNNNNNNNNNNNGGGACGAGUCGAUGGAGGCUAGUUUGCCAUGGGGUCCGCUCGUCUUUUCGGUUGGGGUAGUGACUGGUAUCGAGUGAGGUGUUGUCGAGGUCUUGGAUGCCGGGGCAGCGGCCCUGGUGGUGGUAGCGUGGUGCUCUUGGGCAGAGACUGUCGCUCGGUGCUGCCCAGUGGCCAUGGCUGUCGUGGUUCUAAGCCUGACAGUAGAGUGGGGGGUAGGUAUGGAGAGGCAAGGUCCUAGCUAUGGAGAGGUUAUAAGCACAAAGGAUGUACGAGUUCAGGCCCUUCCCGGAAGAAGUAACAGCCCUACGUCUCGGAGCCCGGAGGCGGUCGAGUGGAUUAUGAAUGUAUGAAUUACAAGGUGCCCAACCCCUCUGCCUGUGGAGGAGGGUGGCUUAUAUAGAGUGCGCCAGGACCCUAGCCAGCCCACGCAGGAGAGGGUUUAAGGUGAGUUAAGUCUGGGGCGUUACUGGUAACGCCCCACAUAAAGUGCCUUUACUAUCAUAAAGUCUACUUGAUUACAGGCCGUUGUAGUGCAGAGUGCCUCUUGACCUCCUGGUGGUCGAGUGAGUCUUCGUGGUCGAGUCCUUCAGGCCAGUCGAGUGAAUCCUCGUUGGUCGACUGGAAGGCGACCUCUUCUAAGGAUGUCCUAGGGUAAGUUACUUGAAUCAGAUCCAUGACCCUACCCUAGGUACAUAACCCCAUCAUUAGCCCCCGAAUGGAUUGAGGCUUCGAGUGAAGAAGGAGUUGAUGUCGUUUCCGAUUAAUCUUUGUGCUCCGGUUGUGCGCUGUUCCGGACCAAAGAAUCCCUUCGUUGACAGGGAGCAAUUUUGCCUUCAGUCGACUCGAUCCAUUCUGUUUUUGCGUUGAGUGAUCUUUCAGGCUUCGACGAUCUCCGAGCGACGGAUCGCCGGAAACACCGCGCCUGACAGACUGAUUUGUUGCUCGCGGAUUCCGCGGGAUGCGAAAUUUUGGGGCGCGCGCGAAGCGGGGCGGACCGCGGCGUUCGGAUGGGACGGGGCAUGGACGCCUCGAUCUCCGCGCCGCCUUUUUCGCCACGUAUCCCGUCUGCAUAACUGUUCCAGAUAUGACUAGAUCGACCGGGCCCACCUGUCAUCCACUCGGAAGGGACCUUAUAAAUGUGCCCGGCGAGGAUUUCUGUGCUGCGCCUUAGCAUUCUCCCCCUCUCUCUGCUUCCUUCUUCCCUGCUCAGCGUGCUCGCUCUCGCCCCCGCACCACUUCCCUUCGCGCAUCUCUCCGGCGACCAUGGCCAAGGAGAAGACGGCGGCGCUGGAGCGCGCCAAGAAGGCAUCGGCGUCGGAGAAGGCAAAGGGGAGAUCCACCAGCCGCGGAGGGUCCUCGUCCAGAUCCCGCCUGCCGAAGGGCUGGGUCCAAGGAGACUGGAUCCAGUCGACCAUCACAGAGAAGGACCUCCUCGACAUGGCCAACGAGGGCUUGAUCCCUCACGGAGCUGCGAGGUUGCCGGGGAAGGAGUGGCAGCCACAGCCAGAAGAGGGUGAGUGUGUGCUUUUGGCCACUCAUGUUGAUCGUGGGUUUUCCUUGCCGCCAAGUAUUUUCUUCCGUGGCUUCUUGAAUUUCUUUGGAGCGCAGCUCCACCACUUUACCCCAAACUCCAUUGCCUAUCUUGCUGCGUUCGUGUCCAUGUGUGAGGGUUUCUUGGGCUGUCGACCGCACUGGGGUUUGUUCAAACAUAUAUUCACGUGUCGAUCUCAGACCAUGAAGAAGGCGAGCCCCGGUGAUGAGAGAACCCGAGUCGUCCAAAUGUGCGGGGGGCUGGGGAUUCAGGUGAGGAAUAAGAGCACCUUCCCGCCCAUGACCUUUCCCGAGUCCGUUAGAGGCUGGCAGUCGACUUGGUUCUACUGCCAGGUCCAGUCGACGCCAGGGCAGUCGAGUGGACUCCCUCCGUUCACCAUGGACCGAGUGAGCAAGCCUUCCCCUCUGAAGCUGAUUCCGGAGGAGAGAGCCGACGUGAAGAUGUUGAUGGAGCGCGUGGUGCAGUUGGUAUUAUAGAGGUUAAUGGGAGAUACAAAUUCUCUCUGGUACUCUCUCUUGGUUUCUGACAAAAAUUACUGGUAACAAGACAAGCCGAGUUGACAUAAUGGGAGAUACAAAUUGAAGCAAGGUGAAUACAUAAAAUUGCACGCAUCUCUAAGCCUUUGUGUGCUGAAUGCUUCACCGGUAGCUACCGGUUCCGGUAAAAAGAGCUUUGCGUCUUAUGCUCUCCUUGCAGGCUUGUACCUGCUACACAUGCGUCUUUGAUUCAAUCCGUGAUCCAUCCAUUCAGUGGAAUAUCCUAUGGAGACAACACACAUUAGCUUCGUCGGCCUCGAUCAACAUGGGCGUUGUGCCAGGAGCAAUGCACAAUUGCACAUGUUGUUGGUGGCUUAUCAUGUAGUUGUGCAUGCUAAGUUUGUAGCAUUACAAUUUCUGUUUUUGGGACUGUUCAUAGCAGAAGGGAGAUUAUUUAGUUCACAGAUUAGAUUUUUCUUAAGUCAAACUUUUUAAACUUUAACCAAGUUUGUAGAAAAAUCAAGAUUUAAAAUACCAACUCAAUAUUGCUAGAUUCAUCAUGAAAUAUAUUUCAAUAUUGUACUUAUUUGAUACUAUAGGUGUGAAUAUUUUAAUAUGAUGUUGGUCAAAUGUUACAAAAUGUUUAAGAUAAAUCUAAUAUAUAUGCAUAGUAAAAAAAACAGAGUACUGUAACCUUUAAGAGUUUGAAUCAUUAAGCCUCCCGUGAAACCAUCCAGAAGGUUCCAAGAUAGUGUUAGCAUGUUGAUAGUAUCAUAUGAUUUGUAUCUGUCUCUAUCUCCCUUCUCCUAGCGUGCAAGUCACGAUUUAGUCAUGGUUGUAUCAAACUCAUUGUGUGUGUAUCUCGGAAUAAGCAUCCAUUUAUUAAAAGACUGUUGCGCUCUCUAUAGAGGGUGAGACGCUUCCACCAAAGUUUAGAGGUGCUACAUGCAUGUACAUGUAUAACCUGCCAGUUGCUGGCAAGCUGCCUCAGCGAGCGGUCAGUCUCACUUGCAUAACGGAGGAGUCAUUUUCCAUGUAAUCAUCAAUCGUACGUACUCUGAUUUUUCUAUGAAGAAUGAUUUUGACUUUUGCUGAUUGCAAAAGCUGAUCUGGGACAGCUCUCUGCACAGAAUAGAAUAGAACUAGUGGUAUUGUGCGAAAUAGCCUUCCAAGUGCAUGUUUGAGGGAGACCCCUGGUAAAAAAAAGACCCGUUCUAGUACGGUAUACAUACAUCAGAUAUACCAGAAUUCUGUUGUGAAAUCGAUCAACUUGACAAGUGGAUGACGGCUGACUGGUUACCAAUAUCAUGCCGACUCCAAGUAAACUCACAGAUCUGGUACAAACCCAAGCGACAUGCAACUACAGUUGCCCGCAUGUACACGGACGUGCAAAGUUAACUACAUUUGUGUGCGACGAUGUGGGUGUGCAAAUGUAGUUGUGUGUCGCAUGGGAAAAGACAAAGUAAAAUAAUAAUAAACAUAAAUCGAUAAAAAAAAUCCACAUGAAUAUUCGCGUAAAAUCAGAUGGUGUUGGAGAUUAUGACAUGAGAUUUGCUGAUUGCCAUCUAGACUGAAAUUAGCAAAUCCGGUAUUUCUAACAUGGGAUUAACCAUUUUUUAAAUUUAAUUUAAGACAAAUCUAAUAUGUGAAGUAAAUAAAAUAAACAAAGGGAUAACCGUUCGAGUUUGAAUCAUCAUCGGAGCUUAUCCGAGAUACACAUGCAAUUAAUCUAUUACUCCCUCCGUCCGAAAAUACUUGUCAUCAAAAUGGAUAAAGAGAGAUGUAUCUNNNNNNNNNNNNNNNNNNNNNNNNNNNNNNNNNNNNNNNNNNNNNNNNNNNNNNNNNNNNNNNNNNNNNNNNNNNNNNNNNNNNNNNNNNNNNNNNNNNNCAUGGACGCUUCCCGGAUGACUCGUGAGUUGUCUCCCUUGGACAAUGGGUCCAUGACCAGUAGCUAUGUGAUGUUCUCCUCCCCUUCUUGUGCUUCACUAAUUAGACCUCGUGAGCUUCCCUACAUGAUCGAGGCACAUAUGUAAUCCUUAUGCUGUUGCUAUGAUGAGUUUGCUGGGAUCCGAUGGAUUGUGAGAUUAUGUUCAGAUUGUGUUUGAGUAAUAUAUUUGAUUUACCUCUUUUAUAUUUAUGUUCGUAAGUAAUUCUUGCAUGUUCUCCGUUGCUGUUUAUUGCUUUGGCCAAGUAGUAGGUAGUGACUCCAAGAGGGAACGUUAUGCUUGAUUGUGGGUUCAUGCCCCUCGAUGACUAGUUUGAGUGACAGAAACAUGAGUCUAGGGGAUGUGCUGUUGCCACAAUGGGGAAAACAACGGUGCUUGUGCCCGCGGGUGCAAGGAUUGUUUACUUUACGCAAAGUUAUUUUAAUGCAGUUGUCUGUUGCUUUGAGUUUACACUAUGGGUGGGACUCGCAACUUAAUACCAGCGAGAUGUUCUGGAUAGAUAUCUCAAGGUGGAUGAUUAGUAGUAGAUGCAGAUGGAUUUCGGUCUACUUACCUUGGCGUACCGCCCAUGCUUUGAACCUAUACCUUUCUUGCAGUAUAGUUAGCAUUGGUUUGCGCACAUAAUUCUGUCAAUUGCCCAGCUGUAAUUUGUUUACCUCACAUAGCUGUUUUAUCGUCUUUUGGGAGAGACAUCACUAGUGAACAUCAUGGGACCCCGGUCCAUAUUACUAUCAUUGAUCACAUCCGCUAUUUACUUUCCUCUUUUACUUACUAUUUGCAGCAAUACCUAUCACUAUUAUCACUUGCGUUUGAUCCUUUGUAAACGACAAGGCCGGAGGGAUUGACAACCUCUCUGUACUCGUUGGGAGCAAAGUUAUUUGUAUCUGUGUGCAGGUCCAAGUUGAUUGCUAAUAUCUGGCGCCGUUAGCAGUUGACACCUUCUUGUUGAAACUUGGAGUCUCAGGGGAAAUCGAUCCUUGGUAUCUUUGCAAAGGGAAAAACUACCGCUACACUGCAUCUCAAACCUUCCACUUGUGUUAACCAACGAGGAGCGAGAGCCAGCUAGCACCGCGCUCCGCACGGCCCGUGACUCCGAGGAGCCGGAUUCCUCUCAGAACUCCGACCCCCCCGCGCCCCUGCCGAUCGAAUCCGAUUGGGUGCCAAUAAUGGAGUUCACCGCUGCGGAAAUCUUUCAGCACUCGCCCUUCGGCGACAUCCUGAAUUCUCUAAAGUCUCUCUCUUUAUCAGCAGAGCCCUGGCCGGACUACGGUCAGCGAGGAUGGGAUACGGACGAUGAAGAAAUUCAAAGCCCACCCACCACCCACUUGGUAGCCACUAUCGACAAUCUAAACGACGUGCUCAACUUCGACUCCACAGACAUCGACAGCAUGGAUGACGAUGCAGGAGAUACAGAUGAACCAACGCCCAUAGGGCAUUGGAGAGCCACCUCAUCUCACAAUGUGUACAUCGUGGAUACCCCUAAAGGAAGCGACAACGAGGAAAAAGGGGAUGGAACGGGGGAUCGAUCCCUCGAAAAACAAUCAAAGCGUCGGCGUAAACGCCGACCCAAGCCCCGCCUCAAUAAAGACUCAGCCAUAGAGCAGGAUGAGCCGGUAGACGAUGAGCAGGCCUUAGAGUAACCGUCCGAACAGGGCAACACGGAUAGAGAAACCGAACAUCCUUCCCCAGGCGAAAAUGGCACUCCGGACGACCUUACGCCGGAUAAACCCACGAAGUAGAAGAAUCUCCACAAGAGGCUCGUUGCAACAGCACGCAGCCUGAAAAAGCAGAAGCGGAAGCUAAAAAUGGCGGAAGAUGCGCUCAGGAUUAGAUUGUGCAAAGUAAUCAAUACCGCAGAUAAAUACGGCGACAGUCGCCACACUAAAAGCUAUCCAAAGAGAAAGCUACUGCCUGAAUUCGACGAAGAGGCCCUAGAGCCCUCGCAUUCAAAAAAUAAGAAAGCCACACGGUCGGAUAGACGACCCCAUGGCUAGCAUAAAGCGGCAAGCGGCGCCGCACUUAAGUCCGCAUGCGACCCACUUAAGGAUUCGCAUCAUGGCCCAGCCAGGUCCAUUUACGGGCCAAGAAAGCAAGCUCUCGUAAGCGAUGCAAUAAAGCCAUUAUCAGAAUCCGGCACACCCAAAUACAGGGACGCCGCACACCCCCUAUGUUUCAAUGACGAGGUCCUGGACUAUGAAUUUCCAGAGGGAUUCAAACCCGUAAACAUAGAGGCAUAUGAUGGAACAACAGACCCUGGAGUCUGGAUCGAGGAUUAUAUCCUCCACAUACAUAUGGCUAGAGGAGAUGACCUCCACGCCAUGAAAUACUUACCCCUUAAGCUUAAAGGGCCAGCCCGGCAUUGGCUUAAAAGCCUUCCUGAAAACACAAUCGGAAGUUGGGAAGAGCUCGAGGACGCUUUUCGAGCAAAUUUUCAAGGGACCUAUGUCCGCCCUCCGGAUGCAGACGAUCUUAGUCACUUAACUCAACAGCCCGGAGAAUCAGCUCGGCAAUUCUGGAAUAGAUUCCUCACUGAAAAGAAUUAUAUAGUCAGCUGUCGGGACGCCGAAGCCUUAGCAGCUUUCAGGCAUAACAUCCGAGACGAAUGGCUCGCCGGACACCUCGGCCAAGAAAAGCCAGGAACAAUGGCCGCACUGACAAGCCUCAUGACCCGCUUUUGUGCAGGAGAGGACAGCUGGUUGGCAAGAUGCAGCCCCAGCGACCCAAGUACAUCCGAAGCUAGGGAUGGAAACGGAAAACCACGACGCAACAAGGACCGUCGCCGGACUAAGGAAAAAAGUCCGAAGAGAACGGCAGUCAACGCCGGAUUCAAAAGCUCACGACAGAAUCAGACGAAGCCGCCCCUCCAGGAUAACAGGGAUGAUCCAUCCAAAUUAAACAAAAUCCUGGACAGGAUAUGUCAAAUACACAGUACUCCCGGAAAGCCUGCUAACCAUACCCACAGAGAUUGUUGGGUUUUCAAACAAUUCGGCAGACUCAACGCCGAACACAAGGGGCUCGACACACCAAGCGAACACGAGGACGGACCCCAAAAGCAGAGCGCCAGGAAACAAAAGAAUUUCCCACAAGAAGUAAAAACAGUAAACUUACUUCACAUAACAAAACGUGUGGCACCCAUAAAGGUACGCACCACACGACCUAUCCCAAAGGGGUCCCGCCACUGGUUGUCAAAAUCAAUCAUCUUCGAUCAGCUGGAUUAUUCUAGAAGUAUCAGGAACGCAGGCUGGACUGCCUUGGUACUCGAUCCAAUAAUUGGCGGACUCCAGUUUUCAAAUGUCCUUAUGGACGGCGGCAGUGGACUAAACCUGAUAUAUCGGGACACAAUCCGUCACAUGGGGAUAGACCCAGCAAGAAUCCGCCGCAGCAAAACCGCCUUUCAAGGGGUAACGCCUGGUCCGGAGACCCAUUGCAUGGGUUUUCUCCGGCUCGAAGUUAUAUUCGGCUCUACCGAUAACUUCCGCCGCGAAAAGCUGACUUUCCACAUCGUCCCAUUCUCAAGUCGCUAUCAAGCACUACUGGGACGCGAAGCUUUCGCCCGCUUUAACGCAAUACCUCAUUAUGCAUCUCUAACGCUUAAGAUUCCCGGUCCAUGAGGCAUCAUCUCUUUGAAGGGGAAGCAUUGAAAUGCGCCUCCCCCAAGCGGAGGACUGUACGGCCGCUUUGACAGCCCCACAGUAAAAUGGCUUCACUGGCCAAAAAGUUCGGAAUAGGUCAUUAAAGACCACGAACGCGGAUAGACNNNNNNNNNNNNNNNNNNNNNNNNNNNNNNNNNNNNNNNNNNNNNNNNNNNNNNNNNNNNNNNNNNNNNNNNNNNNNNNNNNNNNNNNNNNNNNNNNNNNAGCAAAUCCAGUGUGCAGCCCAGCUUUUUCAGACCAUCAUCGCAUCCGGGGUACAGCGCCUUUCUGUGAUCCUCUAACAUGCGAUCCAAAUUCUCCCUCUCCUUUUCAGUUUCGCAGCGUCUCUGUGCAUCAGCAAUGGUCCGACCAAGAUCAUCAACGGGAUCAUCACGUGCCUCUUCUUCACCUUCCCCUUCACCUUCAGCAUCCUCCAUGAAAGUAUCACCGAAAUGAGCAAGAUAGCUUUCAUCGAUGAAAUCAUCCCCUUCUUCAUCUUCUUCCAUUAUAACCCCUCUUUCUCCAUGCUUGGUCCAACAAUUAUAGCUUGGCAUGAAACCGUGCCGAAGCAGAUGCAUGUGAACAUCUCUUGAUGAAGAGUAACCCUUCUGAUUCUUACAGAUAACACAUGGACAGAUAACAAAACCCCCCUGCUUGUUCGCAUUAGCCACUACGAGGAAAUCUUUCAAACCCGUAGUGAACUCGCCGGAGAGUCGGUUACCGUACAUCCAUUGCCGAUUCAUCUGCAUUAUUAUAAUAUAAAAUAUAUAAUUAACCAUCAUGCAUUUGUUAAACUAACUAGCUACAAACAAUAUAAAUUAAACAAUGAACUGCACACAUGCAUAUUUUAUCAAUGACACAUCAAAGGUUCAUCAAGUUGCUAACCGCGAUCGAGGAGUGUGGCUCCAACACUUCAUGUCAUGUUUGUUUCAUGCUCUUGGGGCAUUUCAUCAAACACCUUAUGUGCAUAAGAGGAACCAAAAGCAAACCUACACCCACUUGUGAAGAGAAUGGCUCCAAAUGGCUAAUUGUUGGCUGCUGGAUGGGUAUAUAUAGGGGAGGGGCUUUAGUUGCGGUUGGCCUGGCAAACCGUGACUAAAGGUGCCCGAAGGCCUUUAGUCGCGGUUGUCCUGGCCAACCGCGACUAAAGACCCUCACGUGCGCCAGCUGACCACCGAGCGCCCUGGGCCCAGGCCUUUGGUCGCGGUUCACCUCCAGAACCGCGACUAAAGGUCCCAUUAGUCGCGGUUCCUACAGCUUCGCGACUUAUGGGGCUGGACGGAAGCCUGUUUUUCCACCAGUGAAAUAAAGGUGGGCAGGUCCUCAAGCAUCUCUGUACUCAUCAUGCCGACGCUGCUCUGACCUUGUACCCCAUACUGGAGGUGAUAUAUUUCAGUGUAGGGCCAGCUUAGAUGAGGCGUGAAGUACUAUGAAUAUAUACUGGAGGUGAUAUAUUAUUUUUCGGCGGGUGAGUUCACGAUUAUAUUGCCUAGUACCAACUACCAACUAAGAAUAUCUCCCAUAUCCACCGUGAUUGAUCCUUGUAUACUUUGUCUCCCAUACUUCCCCCGUUUCUUUUUACACCACAUAUAAGCUUUGUUUUUACCGUAAAAAAAAAUAUAAGCUUUGUUUUCCCCCAAAAAUAUACAAAUUUUGUUUCUAAGUCAAACUUAGUAAAGUUUGUUCAAUAUUCUAGAAAUAUAGAAUAAAAACCCUUUCCUUUUUUUGAAAUUAAUAAAAAAAACCUUUCCUUCAACUGGCUAAUAAACAUCUGACUUUGGUUGCAGGCCCAGCCCGCAAAUGGGGUCACAUGAGGAACGAGUUCCGCUCAUAGACCACAGUCACACCCAUAUGAUUGCAUCUGUAAAACCAAAGGCAUCGUCGUUGCGACAUGCUAGAAUACACGUGGACGCCAGCGUGGCGAGAUCAAGCUUGGGUGACUCAGCGGCAGCCGUGUGCCGGGACACUGGAGGUUUUUAUUUGGGUAGUUCUGCCCUGGUUAUUACAGGUGACUUAUAUUGCAACGUUGGAGGCGAUCACAUGUCGUGAGGUGCAACCUUUUGCCCAAAAUUUGCUUCUCCAGAACUUCGUCGUUACAUCAGAUUCGAAAUUAGCUGAUCAUGGAUAUCGACAAAGGAACGGGUAGCAGCUAUAUAUGGAAACAUCAUCAAGGAGAUCAAGCUGCGAUCAACUAAUUUUAUUUGCAUUUUUAGUUUUGAAGGUCGAGCAACAAAUUUAGAUGCAGAUAGUUUGACUAAGUAUUCAAAUUCUCUUAAGUAGGGGCACCACUUGUGGUUGGGCUAACCCUAUGAUCAAGUCUGUAUUCCAUAUUUUGUGGCUUUCGAUCAAUAAGGCUUAGCUUUUUUUUAGUCUAAUUAAUAAAUGUUAGCUUUACCACUAAAAAAACUUUUACAAUGCAUUUACCUUUUUAGCAAAGUAUGCCAGGCUUUAUUAAUCUAUGGCAAUGUUUACAGGAAUUACAAGAAUAUCAUGAGGAUCGCCCAACCAAAUGAGUCUACCCCGAAGGAGAGCGACAUCUAGCCUAGCCAACAUAUGAGCUUCAAAAUUAUGAGCUCGUACUUCAUGAGAAAAGAUACAAGAACUAAACUCCAAUUCUAUCUGUUUUGUUUCUCUAAUUACCACUCCAUCCACUCCUCCGAAUCCAUCGCGAAUAUGAUUUAUGAUCUUGUUAUAAUCUGAUGCAUUGUAGAGGUGUUGCAAUCCCCAGAUCCUCCGUCAAUGCUAAAGUUUCUCUGCAUGCUAUGGCUUCAAGUAUUGUUGGUAAAACAAAUCUCUGAAAUACCUGUAUAGCCGGGCCCAAGUAUGUACCAUUUCUGUCGCGGCAAGUGGCUAUUGCUGCUCCUCUGUUGUGGUCUAAGGAGACCCCAGCAUCCACAUUAAUUUUAACUAGAUGAUACCCCGCGCGUUGCCGCGGAAAUUUUGUAUCACCGCAGACGUACUAAAUGUUAACUAAUAAAAAAUUUGUGGAUCAAAGUGAUUACCCUAUAAACAGGAACAAUAUGUCAAGGAUUUGGGUAUGGCACAAUUGCAAAGUAGAAGCUGACCGAAGAGUACUAAUGACAUUUUUCUUGAUUACAAAUGAAGGUGAUCGCUCUAGUGAUAAACUAAUUCUGAAUUUAGGCAACAUAAUUACUAGUUUUAGGUAGAAUCUGUAGUGUAGUUUGUAAGAAGCUGCAUGCAUUGUUCAUGAUGUAGCAUGUUAGGUCGUCUCACAAGGAAAUUCUCGAAGAAAUAACAAAGAACACGGCGUCUUGUAUAUGCGAGUUGAAUAUGAAACAUUGGGUUGAAUUCAUAAGAGCAGGCCUCUAUAAAAAGAGGGAGGAAUGCAAAAAAAAGGUAGGAUGGAUGAAUGUGAACAAAAAAAGGAUUUUUUUUCUAUUUUUCUGCUAUCAAAAGAUAGGAUGGAUGAAAUUAGAUGUGCGAACUAAUUUGAUAGUCUCAAGGUAGAUAAAUAUAAUAAUCCUUUCCAACUGAUCCAUGCAUCUUAAAAAUCAAGAACCAUUUUGGAGCUGUAGGAAUAAGGAACAAAUACAUUCUAUUGGCACAUCAAAAGCAGUAAAUAUAUAUGACAUAUUCUUUGCCAUGCAUCUAUCUCACUUGAUGAUGUCAUUACGGAGAUUAUGCUGGAAUUUUAUCUAUUUAUGGGCCAACCCAAUAACUAUUUCAGAAAUUCCUAAAUAAAUCCUAGAGGUCCACUUAGCUCAUUUGUGCAAGGCAAGGGAUACUAUUAAAGUUUAGUCUCACACUGCUAGUUUAGUGGGAGUUGGACCUCCUUAUAAGAGAGGUCGCUCCUCUCCAGAGAGACACACCAGAAGAUCCUCUUUCUCUCGCCACAAAGUUCCUGAGCACUGCGCUGCUGCUACGAUCUUCCCCAUCCCGACUUGCGGCGUGCACCGCAGGUCGGGACAGUAGGCCUUCGAAACUGAACCUUUUGAGUCCUGUACGGGAGAAGGGUGGUAAGGUUUUUGGGGAGCGCUCAGCGCGACUACUGACUUCUUUGUCACGGACGCCCCGGACUCNNNNNNNNNNNNNNNNNNNNNNNNNNNNNNNNNNNNNNNNNNNNNNNNNNNNNNNNNNNNNNNNNNNNNNNNNNNNNNNNNNNNNNNNNNNNNNNNNNNNAAACUCCAUAUGUGAUUUCUUAAAUGCCAUUUAAUUGAAUUGUCCUAAACAGUAGUCAUAAGUUGUUCUAACAUGCAUGGAAAUGGUACAGAUGAAUAGAUUGGAUUUUUCUGAUCAUUUUUCAUAUAUAAAUCAUUUCAUUUGGAGCUACGGUUGAAUUUCUGUGAAUUUUAGAAGUUUAUACUAUUUUCUGGAAUUUCCUGAUUAAAAAUAAAUCCAGAAAAUGUAAUACUGCGUCAGCCUGACGUCAUCACUGCGUCAGCGAGUCAACGGCUGGUCCAGGUCAAACCUGACCAGUGGAGCCCACUGGUCAGUGACUCAGCUAACUAACCAAAUUAGUUAGUGCUAAUCUAAGUUAAUUAGGGCCUGGGCCCACAUGGCAGUGGCUCUAGGGGUGGUUUAGCUGGGUCAUUAGUGGCUAAUGACGAGCCACGUCAUCAGUCGCCGGAGUUUCACCGGCGAUGACCAUUUCGCGCGACGGAGAUCGUCGGGAUCUCGCUAUAGCCCACGGUUUGAGGCGGGGUUUGCUCCUACGGAUUGCUGGCGCUCCCGCGCAUCUAGUGGUGGUAGCAGCAGCAGCUGGGAUGGCCGGAGGUGACGGCGGCGAGCGCUUCCGCAGCGGCCGGAGUACGGGCACGCUCGGACACAGCGUUUUGGUGCACGGGAGGAUGAGCUGCGGGUUGCUACGGAGCCCUGCGGACUCGCUGAGCACGGGGGUGGGCUCGAAUGCGUCGUGGAUGCGCUCUAGCUACGACGGUGCCAUGGCCGGCGGUGGUGAGCUCUCGGGCUCGGUCGGAAGACGGGGCUAGGGAUCGAGAACAGAGGGGGAGAGCGAGGGGGAAGCAACAGGAGCUCACAGUGAACUCUAAGGCGCCGUCGGAGAGGUCGGGGAAGCCCUGACGGUGACGAAUCGAACGGGGCGGCGCUCGGAGCAGAGGAAGAAGACAACAGCGAUAGCGGCGCUGUGGGGCGCUCCGGCGUCACGUGCGUCGGCGUAGAACUUCAUGGAUCCGAGGCGGAGCUUGUAGGCUAGUUGGAUGGCCGCGGGGAUGCUAGUGGCUGCGGUGGUUCACGGCGGCGUGCUCAGGCACGUGAGGGGAAGAGCGAUGGAGAGAGACAGAGGAGAGGGAGAAGGUCGGGAGAGAGUGAGAGAGUCCCAGGGGGUGCGUGGUGACGCGGGAGAGAUCCAGGGUGACGGGGACGCAGGCAGGCAGGGUGGAGGUGGCCGGGGCGCGUGCCGGCGCGCUGCGUCCACGCGCUCUGCCUACUGGCCUGGGGAGGAAGACGACAGGAAGGAGGAGGUGGGCUGGGCCGAAUCUGCUAGGCCACCAGGUAAGUGGGCCUUAGGUAAGUCUCUGCUUCCUUUUUUAUUUCUUUCUGUUUUCUAUUUUCUGUAAUUGGUUCGAUUUAGCAAAAAUGCCAAACCACUUUGUAAAAUGCUCAAAAUAUUUGUGGCACUUGGGAAAUUAUUUCCCACGACCCUCAAAUGCUUUCAAGAUUAUUUGGACAUUUAAGAGUAUUUAUAGAAUUUAAUUGUCCAAAUUCAAAUACUUAUGAAUUAACUCCAAAAUCCAUAAAUGUCCUAGAAAUGUGUGCAUCAUUUUUGGGAGAAGUUUUCACCCAUUCCAAAAUUGAUGAACUUUUCUGAAGGCCAUUUUGGGUAGAUCGAAAAGAUUUAAUUUGACCCUAAUUGUAUUUCAUUUAGUGCUAGGGUUUUAACAUCCCCAUUUCAAGAUUAAUUGAAAUCGAAAAUGAUGCAUGGAUGCAAUGCCACUAAUUACAAGAAGAUUUCUAGGGCUGUGACAACUCACCCCCACUAAACAAGAAUCUCGUCCCGAGAUUCAAGAAGUGAAGUAAGAAGACAGAGGGGUCACAAAACUAUCACAGUCUUCUCGGUCCAACUGCCCUUCACGAAGAUGUUAAUCCGUUGCUUCGAUUAACGUUGACGUCUUUGCUUUCGAGAUCUUCAUCCGACACGAUGACGAUAAGGGAAACUCUAUAGAAAUUGAUCUCCUCGAAGAUCGAGCUAUACAAGAUCAACUCGCGGAAUGAGAUGUUGAAACAUCUCGAGUUGAGACACAAAACACAUCGAGAGGGAUGGAAGAACAAACGAUGAGGUUUGAUUUGGUGGGCAACAAUCCCACGCUUAGAUAAUAUGGUGCAUGGGUUCCAAAGCAGCGAGGAGUUAAUUGCCAUGACUCCAUAACGGGGCACCUUAGGGAAGGUGGCUCGUAGAAAUAUUCCCUUAAGUGGCAAAAGAAUUACUUUUGAUUCAGAGAUCAUUGAAACUCUUUAUACCAGCCUAAGGCAAUUUUCAAAUGAUCGUUUGAAAGAAUUCAAAAUAAUGGCUCACUCAAUUUGGAAAGGAAACUAUGGCUGUAGAACAACUCGACAAAUGGAAGGCACAUUCCAGUUGAUACCAAGGAUAUAACCUAGUUACUGAGCGUGCUUUCAAGAACUUGAGCAUUUCCAUAUUCAUCAAGGUUUUACCAACAUCCGUGCCGAGGAUCCUGGCAACACAUCAUACUACCAUGAUGAACGGUGAUGGAGGAUGCAGAUGCAAAGGAGGACAACACUUUCUCAGAUUUCACCUUAGCGAAGCCAAGAAAACAAAAUCUGGAGGAUCGACCGAGAGACAUUUAGCACUCCGCUUCUAAUGUUCUCCUUGACGUACUAGGUACCACGAUCAUGCUUAAAGCAUCAUCAUGGCCAUCAAGUAAAGGUCUGACUUCGGAGGCACAAAGGAUCCAUAAGGAACAACUUCUAUACUAAGUUGCACUAAAUCCUCAUGGAGAAGAUGGUUAAAUAGCUCAAUCAAGAUACUACAAUGAUAGAUCUUCCGGCUAGGUGUGUCGGCCAGAACAUCAACCUUCUCGGGACCUACAUCAUAAUCUUGGGAGAGUUGCAACCGUCAUAUCUGCCUGAGAUUCAGAUCUGGUUGGUAACAGGAUAAUUCAGACAACGUGUCUGGAAAGAAAGUUUGCAACACAAACCGACAAGAUGGCGUUGCGAGAUUCUCGGGAGAUGAGCUACGAUAAUAAGCUCCAGAACAUGAGUUGGUUCUGCUACAACUUGUGAACACGCUGUCCCAGACAAGCAUGACCACAUAGUAGUCUUAUGAUAAAACACUACCGAGUCCAGGUGGGGAACCAUCAACGAGGAUAACAUAGUCCUAACAUAAGUCAUAUGAUUAGCUCUUAUGAAGGAACUUCUUCUCCUUGAACAAAUCAGUUAGUGGCUUGAUGUGCUAGGGGCCCAUAUGGAGUGUAGGUAAUUAAUCUACCAAACCAUAGAAUACUUCGCACGAAUGCAUGACUGACUUGGGAUGAUUCCAAAGGAAAUAAAAACAAGCUUUCUCGAAUCCACGGCGACAACUUACAUCAAAUGCGUGUGAAUUAGAGGAAGUCACUACUUUCAUCCAAACAUAUGCUUCAUGAGCUAGCACGAAGAAAAUGCUUUCAAAAGUUUCCAACACUAGCUGGAUGUUCAACAUGAAUCAGGGAGGAGACAAAAUGCUGUUGAUGGGCUCAAUAGCAACUCAUCAGAAUUUCCAUAUCACUGGACUUCCACCAUCAUGUGAACACGGUGAUAGCAUUGGUCAGACCCAAAAGAUAUAAUGGCGUAUGCUCGAGAAAUCAACCACGAGUAAGACAACAUUAUGAACAUCGUUGGUUCUGAUUUGAUUUGACGAUAGCCCAUGUUCAAAUCAAAGUUUUGACAAGAUGAUAGACCCAACAACUGAUCACAAGGACCAAUCGAUGAAGAUAUCACCUUUCUUCGACACACACACACAAGGAUAUCCCUUUGGAGAUGAANNNNNNNNNNNNNNNNNNNNNNNNNNNNNNNNNNNNNNNNNNNNNNNNNNNNNNNNNNNNNNNNNNNNNNNNNNNNNNNNNNNNNNNNNNNNNNNNNNNNAUAAUGCUCCUCCACGUACCAGUUCCGUGACUUGUUUCAAAUGUGGGGAAUCUGGUCACUAUAUGCGUGAGUGUCCCCAGACCAACCCCAACCAAUCUGCUAAAGCUGUUGGCCGUGGCAAGCCGACAGGAAAAAUAUUCCACGCUAAGCCGGUCGCCGCUUCACGUGGCCAUGUCAACUGUAUCUCUGCCGAAGAAGCUCAAGAGGAUCCCAACGUCGUUCUCGGUACGCUUCUUGUUAAUUGCCACCCGGCAUCUGUUCUUUUCGAUACAGGAGCCUCUCAUUCUUUUAUAUCUGAAAACUAUGCUCGCUUGCAUAACGUCGCAUUCGGUGAUAUGCCAACCUCUAUGGUAAUUCAAACUCCGGGAUCCAAAUGGCAAACUUCUAGAGUAAGCCAUGGAAAUGAAAUCCAAGUCGACAGACUUGUUUUUCUCGCAUCUUUGAUAGCCCUUAAAUCUUCAGAUAUUAAUAUCAUUUUGGGUAUGGACUGGAUGUCAGCUCAUGAAGCCAAAAUUGAUUGCUUCUCUAGGACUGUUCAACUCACCCAUCCUUCGGGGAAGAUAGUCAAUGUCUUGACCCGAAUAGCCAAGCGACAAUUAUAUUCUCUUAACGCCAGCCCUUUGCCAGACCUUGAGGACGUGCCGGUAGUCUGUGACUUCCCGGAUGUCUUCCCAGAGGAAUUGCCAGGUGUUCCACCUGACAGGGAUGUUGAGUUCGUAAUAGAUCUCAUUCCAGGAACCGUUCCGAUUGCUAGAAGACCCUAUAAGAUGGCACCACUAGAACUAGCCGAGCUUAAGAAACAACUCGAUGAGUCCUUGAAAAAGGGUUUCAUCCGCCCUAGUUCAUCUCCGUGGGCUUGCCCCGUCCUGUUCGUUAAGAAGAAGGAUGGUAAGGACCGGAUGGUUGUAGAUUACCGACCUGUCAAUUUGGUCACAAUCAAGAACAAAUAUCCACUUCCCAGGAUCAACGACCUGUACGAUCAGCUCGCUGGAUCCUCAGUCUUCUCCAAGAUGGAUUUGAGGUUGGGCUACCAUCAAAUAAAAAUCAGAAACGGGGACAUUCCUAAAACGGCCUUUGUUACUCGUUAUGGCCAAUACGAGUACACCGUCAUGUCCUUCGGUUUAACCAACGCUCCAGCCACCUUUUCUCGGUUAAUGAACUCAAUCUUCAUGGAGUAUUUGGAUAAAUUCGUCGUAAUUUAUCUCGAUGAUAUACUCAUCUACUCCAAGAACGAGGAAGAACAUGCCGAACAUUUAAGGCUAGUGUUGAAGAAACUUCGAGAGCAUCGCCUUUAUGCCAAAUUUUCGAAAUGUGAAUUCUGGUUGUCAGAAGUGACCUAUCUGGGUCAUGUAAUAUCUGGUAAAGGUAUUGCUGUUAACCCUGAGCGAGUUCAAGCCGUCCUUAAUUGGACUCCACCUGAAUCGGUCAAGCAAGUUCGGAGUUUUCUGGGCUUAGCGAGCUAUUGCCGUCGCUUUGUCGAGAACUUCUCCAAAGUUGCUAAACCUCUAACCUAACUCCUCAAGAAAGAUAAAAAGUUCGAAUGGACUCCACAAUGUGAGCACAGCUUUCAGGAACUGAAAAGACGCCUGACCUCUGCUCCCGUGCUGGUACCGCCAGACUUCUCCAAGGACUUUGUUAUCUACUGCGACGCCUCGCGACAAGGACUAGGUUGCAUUCUUAUGCAAGAUCGACACGUAAUUGCUUACGCUUCACGGCAAUUGCACCCACAUGAGGAGAAUUAUCCUACUCAUGAUCUAGAACUUGCAGCCGUAGUCUAUGCACUUAAGACCUGGCGACAUUACCUCCUCGGUAAUCGUUGCGAAAUAUUCACUGAUCACCAAAGUCUGAAGUACAUUUUCACCCAACCGGAUUUGAAUCUGAGGCAGAGACGUUGGGUUGAAUUGAUCACAGACUUCGACUUAGGAAUAACCUACACCCCAGGGAAAGCCAACGUCAUGGCUGAUGCGCUAAGUCGUAAAUCUUAUUGUAACAACCUGAUGUUACAACAAAGUCAACCGCUUCUCCAUGAGGAAUUUCGGAAGCUUAACCUUCACAUUGUACCUCAAGGUUUUCUUUCCACCUUGGUGGCAAAACCUACCCUUACAGAUCAAAUUAUCAAAGCACAGAAGGUAGAUCCGGGAAUCUCCCGCAUCAAGAGGAACAUUCAGAAAGGAACUGCGGAUUGUUUCUCCAUUAAUGAUCAAGGAGUCGUAUACUUCAGGAAUCGACUAGUGGUUCCCAAAGUGCGCAACCUAAGGCGAUUAAUCCUUAAGGAAGCUCAUGAAUCUCCUCUCACCAUUCAUCCCGGUAGUACUAAGAUGUAUCAGGAACUACGCCAGAGGUUCUGGUGGACUAGGAUGAAGAGAGAAAUUGCUCAGUAUAUUGCAAAUUGCAACGUCUGUCGUCGUGUAAAAGCAGAGCACCAACGGCCUGUUGGCACCCUUCAACCCUUAGCUAUUCCUGAAUGGAAAUGGGAUAAAAUUGGUAUGGAUUUCAUUACCGGUUUUCCCAGGACCAAGAGAGGGAAUAAUGCUAUCUUCGUCGUGGUCGAUCGUCUUUCCAAAGUAGCCCAUUUCUUACCUGUUCGUGAGAGUAUAACCGCUAGUCAGCUGGCAGAUUUGUACAUCUCCCGAAUAGUGUCCCUCCAUGGUGUUCCUUUGGAAAUUAACUCGGAUCGAGGAAGUCUUUUCACCUCUCGAUUUUGGGAAAGUUUCCAAAAUGCUAUGGGGACUCGUCUCUCCUUUAGCACCGCUUUCCACCCUCAGUCGAGUGGUCAAGUGGAACGCGUCAAUCAGAUUCUAGAAGACAUGCUUCGAGCCUCUGUUAUCUCAUUCGGAAUGGACUGGGAGAAGUGCCUUCCAUUUGCCGAAUUCGCCUACAACAACAGCUAUCAAUCUAGCUUGGGUAAAGCCCCUUUUGAAGUUCUCUAUGGACGACGAUGUCGAACACCCCUUAACUGGUCAGAGACCGGGGAAAGACAAUUCUUUGGCCCGGAUAUGAUUCAGGAAGCAGAAGACCAAGUUCGCAUCGUUCCUGAAAAGUUGAAAACAGCCCAAUCUCUUCAAAAGAGUCAAUAUGACCGAAAGCAUAAGGCUAUGACUUUCGAGGUUGACGAGAAGGCUUAUCUUCGGGUCACCCCUCUGAAGGGAACCCAUCGUUUCGGUAUCAAAGGCAAAUUGGCUCCUCGUUACAUUGGACCUUUUCGCAUUCUCGCCAAACGAGGAGAAGUUGCCUACCAAUUGGAACUACCUCCGCACCUCUCCAGGGUCCACGAUGUCUUCCACGUUACUCAACUCAGGCGUUGCUUCUCGGAUCCUAUCCGUGAAGUGGACCAUGAAACGCUUGAUCUCCAAGAUAAUCUUACAUAUCGAGAGUACCCCGUUCGUAUCCUCGAUCAGGCCGAACGUACCACCCGACGUCAUAAUAUCAAGUUUCUCAAAGUGCAAUGGUCGCACCAUUCUGAGGAUGAAGCAACUUGGGAAAGGGAGGAUCGUCUUCGACUUGAAUAUCCCGCCUUCUUCCUGGAGGAACCCAAAUCUCGGGACGAGAUUCUUUUGAGUGGGGGUGAGUUGUCACACCCUAGCUAGUCAUGCAUUAGAGUGUUGCAUCAUGUUUACUCUUUCAUCAGAAACUUGAAAUGGGGAUGACAGAACCCCCAGUCCCCUCUGAAACCAACUAGGGUUACUAAAAUAAUUUUCAAUGAACCUGAAAUGCCCUUCUAAAAUGCCCAUCAUUUUUGUCUUGGUUCAGAACCUCUGCCAAAAGUGGUGCACAUUUUCCUAGGCCAUCCUAGGGUUUUUGAAUUAAAUCAUAANNNNNNNNNNNNNNNNNNNNNNNNNNNNNNNNNNNNNNNNNNNNNNNNNNNNNNNNNNNNNNNNNNNNNNNNNNNNNNNNNNNNNNNNNNNNNNNNNNNNCCUAUUCAGGUUCCAUCCGCAGGGAGUCCGGCCGGGGUUUCCCAUACGGCCCCGAACGAUGUGAACAGGGUUCCCGAGAUACCUAACGGGUAUUCGGUACACCCGGCCACGUACCUACCGCAUCACAGCCCACCCCUACGGUCAGCGCUGUCCACGGCCUCCAGUAGGCUACAAACACCAGAAACUACUUGCAACUCCUGGACGGAGAACUAGGGUGAAUAAGAAGCCGAGAGGGUCCAUUGGUUUCGGUCCCAAUGCAUGGUAGUAGCUGAUUCUUAAAUCACACAUACAGAUCUCAGUGCUUAAGGUCGGCUUCAAUGAAACAACCCACCAUGUACUCCUACAUGGCCUCUCAUCGAUACCUUUACCAAAUCGUGUUCACCACACCACUCUCAUUACCGACAUAACAUUUCACUCUAGCCCAUCACCCAGAUGAACCAGACCUGACACGACUCUAAGCAUAGCAGGCAUAGAAAGGUAGGAACAACACAUACAUAUGGCUCAAUCAACUCCUACACAUGCUAGUGGGUUUCAUCUAGUUACUGUGGCAAUGACAGGUCAUGCAGAGGAAAUGGGUUCAACUACCGUAGCACACAGCAGUUUGAAACGCGUUGUCUUAAUGCAGUAAAAGAGAGUAGGAGCGAGAACAUGGGAUUGUAUCGAUAUGAUCAAUGGCUGGUUGCUUGCCUGAUGGUUCGAUGCACGGAUACGGUUCUUCGUUAGGGUAAUCACGGUACUCCUCGGAGGCAGAACCUGUCGCAAGGACAUCGAUACACAACAUCACCAAACAAUGUGCAACAAUAUGAUGCAUGCAUGAAACAUGGCAAUAUGAGUGUGUUGGGCUAAUGCAACUAAAACCAGAAGGGUUUGAACAAACUUGAAUCAAGGAUUCAAAUUUCAAAUUCAAAUAUGGCCUUUUAAAGUGCUUUUCCUUGUUCUGCUUGAAACAUCAAUUUAACUUGUUUAAUCAUGCAUGAAAAUAGUACAGAUGGAUAGAUUGGAUUUUUCUGAUCAUUUUUCAUAUAUAAUUUGUCCAAUUUGGAGUUACAGAAUAAAAGUUAUGAAUUUUUGAAGUUUAAAUAAUAUUCUGGAAUUUCCUGAUUUAAAUUAAAUCCAGAAAUUAUAAUUAUUGCGCCAGCAUGACGUCAGCAUGACGUCAGUGGUCAACUGCGGCUGUCUGGGGUCAAACCUGACGUGUGGGGGCCACACGUCAGUGACAGGGGGGUUUAACAGGGUUAAAUUAAUCCUAAUUAGGGAUUAGUGGCGCUGGGGCCCACUGGUCAGUGUCAGGGGGUUAACUAACAGUGGUUAGCGCUAAUCCUAAUUAGCUACAGGGCUGGGCCCACCUGUCAGGGACUCAGGGGGGUCCUGCCGUGGUCAAAGUGGGUCAAACCNNNNNNNNNNCUGCUAUGGCGAACGUCGGCGACGGUGGGGUUCGGCUGUGUGAGAGAGAGAGCGAGGGAGAGGAGGGAAGAGCCGAGGGCGAGUGAGAGAGAGCAGGGGGGGGGCGUGGCGUCGUCCAGGGGCAUCGAGGCGAGGAGGGGAGGGCAGGCAGGCAGGGAGAGAGGUGGCGUGGCGCGGUGGCGCGCGCGCGCGCCGGCCACACUCCCCUCCCUCUGUCGGGACGAAGACGACAGAGGAGGGAGAUGGGCUGGGCCGCCUGCUGGCUGGGCCGGCCAGCUGGAUGGGCUGCACAGGGAGGAGCCCAGGUAAGCUUCUCCCUUUUAUUUUUUUUCUGUUUUCUAAUUUCUGACAUUUGUUUUGAUUUAAAUAAUAUAUUAAAUCAUUUAUUUAACUUAUGCCAAUUUUUGCAGGGGCUAGAUAUAUUAUUCCAGAGCUCCUUUAUAAUUGGCAUAAUAUUUGGACAUAUAUUAAUAUAUAUAGAAAUAUAUUUCCAAUGCAAAUAUUUAUGCAUUAAUUCCAAAUGCCCAAAAUAAAUGUCCAUGAGCCACUAAAAAUAUUGGUUUGAUUUUUAUCUCUGUCCAAUAUUUUCAGAGAGCAACAUGAGCAUUUUCUUGGACCCUUUUGGAGAAAUUUUUAUUUGGGUCAUUUUCAAAAUAAUUCUGAGGGUUUCACAGAUCCCCAUUUCAAAUUUCUGAUGAAAGAGUAAACAUGAUGCAACACUCUAAUGCAUGACUAGCUAGGGUGUGACAACUCACCCCCACUCAAAAGAAUCUCGCCCCGAGAUUUGGGUUCCUCCGGGAAGAAGGCGGGGUACUCAAGUCGAAGACGAUCCUCCCUUUCCCAAGUUGCUUCAUCCUCAGAAUGGUGCGACCAUUGUACUUUGAGAAACUUGAUGUUAUGACGUCGAGUGGUACGCUCGGCCUGAUCGAGGAUACGAAUGGGGUACUCUCGAUAUGUAAGAUUAUCUUGGAGAUCAAGCGUUUCGUGGUCCACUCCACGGAUAGGAUCCGAGAAGCAACGCCUGAGUUGAGAAACGUGGAAGACAUCGUGGACUCUGGAGAGAUGCGGAGGUAGUUCCAACUGGUAGGCAACUUCUCCUUGUUUGGCGAGAAUGCGAAAAGGUCCAAUGUAACGAGGAGCCAAUUUGCCUUUGAUACCGAAACGAUGGGUUCCCUUCAGAGGGGUGACCCGAAGAUAAGCCUUCUCGUCAACCUCGAAAGUCAUAGCCUUAUGUUUUCGGUCAUAUUGACUCUUUUGACGGGAUUGGGCUAUUUUCAACUUUUCACGAACGAUGCGAACUUGUUCUUCUGCUUCCUGAAUCAUAUCCGGGCCAAAGAAUUGUCUUUCCCCGGUCUCUGACCAGUUAAGGGGUGUUCGACACCGUCGUCCAUAGAGAACUUCAAAAGGGGCUUUACCCAAGCUAGAUUGAUAGCUGUUGUUGUAAGCGAAUUCGGCAAAUGGAAGGCACUUCUCCCAGUCCAUUCCGAACGAGAUAACAGAGGCUCGAAGCAUGUCUUCUAGAAUUUGGUUGACGCGUUCCACUUGACCACUCGACUAAGGGUGGAAGGCGGUGCUAAAGGAGAGACGAGUUCCCAUAGCAUUUUGGAAACUUUCCCAAAAUCGAGAGGUGAAAAGACUUCCUCGAUCCGAGUUAAUUUCCAAAGGAACACCAUGAAGGGACACUAUUCGGGAGAUGUAUAAGUCUGCCAGCUGACUAGCGGUUAUACUCUCACGAACAGGUAGGAAAUGGGCUACUUUGGAAAGACGAUCGACCACGACGAAAAUAGCAUUAUUCCCUCUCUUGGUCCUGGGAAAACCGGUAAUGAAAUCCAUACCAAUUUUAUCCCAUUUCCAUUCAGGAAUAGCUAAGGGUUGAAGGGUGCCAGCAGGCCGUUGGUGCUCUGCUUUUACACGACGACAGACAUCGCAAUUUGCAAUAUACUGAGCAAUUUCUCUCUUCAUCCUAGUCCACCAGAACCCCUGGCGUAGGUCCUGAUACAUCUUAGUACUACCGGGAUGAAUGGUGAGAGGAGAUUCAUGAGCUUCCUUAAGGAUCAAACGCCUCAGGUUUCGCACUUUGGGAACCACUAGUCGAUUCCCGAAGUAUACGACCCCUUGAUCAUUAAUGGAGAAGCAAUUCGCAAUUCCUUUCUGAAUGUUUCUCUUGAUGCGGGAGAUUCCCGGAUCUACCUUCUGUGCCUUGAUAAUCUGAUCCGUAAGGGUAGGUUUUGCCACCAAGGUGGAGAGAAAACCUUGAGGUACAAUGUGAAGGUUAAGCUUCCGAAAUUCCUCAUGGAGAAGCGGUUGACUUUGUUGUAACAUCAGGUUGUUACAAUAAGAUUUACGACUUAGCGCAUCAGCCAUGACGUUGGCUUUCCCUGGGGUGUAGGUUAUCCCUAAAUCGAAGUCUNNNNNNNNNNNNNNNNNNNNNNNNNNNNNNNNNNNNNNNNNNNNNNNNNNNNNNNNNNNNNNNNNNNNNNNNNNNNNNNNNNNNNNNNNNNNNNNNNNNNGGAGGAGGCCUUUAGUCCCGGCUGGCCACGAGAGCCGGGACUAAAGGUCCUCGGCCCCAACGAACCACGAGCGCCCACGUGGCGGGCCUUUAGUCCCGGUCAGCCACAAGAACCGGGACUAAAGCCUUUUGUCGCGGUCCGGAAGAGCCGCGGCUAAAGGGGGGGGGGGGGCUUUAGUCGCGACCCUUUAGUCCCGGUUGCACAGCCGGGGCUAAAGGCUGUUGCGAACCGGGACUAGAGGGCUUUUUUCUACCAGUGAGUCCUCGGCGGAGCAGGUAUUCAUCUUACUAAUGGCACGAGACAUUGGUUUUGUUCUAUGUUCUUUUUUUCAUGUUCAAAUAUUGUACCGAUGGCCAUUAAAUUUAUACAUUUGAUCAUGAUAUCAUUUAUUUUGAAUAAGUUUAAACUUAGGGAGGGGCACAUACAACAUCUUGUAUACACACAUUUGUAAGCUCACCUAAGCUGUAAAUCCGCACUGACUAGGUACUCAUAGGUUUGAUGUCAGUAAGCACAUGCUUUGAGGAUUGAAACAUCGAGGUAACUACAUACAUAUUUAAUUUUCCUCAGUAAAUAUGAUCACCAAACUAUAGACUUGCACACGAACUGGGGUGGGAGAGCACGUGAAUGAGGGUUCAGUGGAACAACCCUAGAUAAAUAAUUAUCUUACAUUGUGAAUUAUAUUUUCCCACAAAGAUAUACCAGGCAUGAUUUCUUGAAAAUUAUUACUUUUUCAUUUGUUAUAUUGUUCAUGCAUAAAAAAUCACUAAGCAAAGAAGCUAUGAAGCGGGGGUUGAUCAGCAAUGUUGACUCCUCGCUUUCUCCAGAUGGCAUAUAAACUGCAUGUACGAUGCAAGAUGCUUGUAUGUGAGAGCCGACAUAAUAUUCAUCUCCUCCUAUUGGACACCACUUUGUAGAUGCUUAGAUGAUUUACUACCCAUCCUAUACACAAUAAAUAAACAAGUGAUUUACACUCAUUUAUUUCUCUCAACAUGUAAACAUGCCACCUCAGCAUGUAACCAUGUUUGAGAAAAGUCCUGGCUCAACAUGAAACCAUGAUUGUAAUUAUAUUUUAUAACUGCAUAACAAUUAAAUGGAAUAAAUCAUACAUAUUUUAAGUUUUAGUUCUUGUAUUAUUACUCCAAAUAUUCACGUUUCAAUCGCAUUGAAAUAUAUUUUAACCAAUUCGGGUAGCAAUAUGUGUUGUUAAGUUAAUUUAGCGCUAGUUACAUGUAUAAACACCUUAUAAGCAUGAUUUUCUAGCCAAGCACUCACCCUUUCAAAAUAAACACCAAUGCAACCUUGGGUGAGAAAAAUGACCUGUUUAUUAUUCUAAACAACUUUGUAAGCACUUGCAUUAGACGUGUUCUUAAGGUGCACUCCACAAGACUAAUCUUAUAAUUGUUUCCCAACGUGCAGGAAACCAGGCAAACUGACAUUACAGAAGUAGAAGGAAAUCGGGAGAGGGAAGAGCUGAGCCAGAUAGAGAAUCUCUUUGGUGAAGUAGUCGACAACUACAAGUUGGAUCAAAUGGCAAGUUACAUGGGCAAAUCCAAGACACGGGAUGACCGAGUACGAGAAGCCUGCAUCCUGGUAACGGAGGACGGCAAGGAUGCCAGGGCGUCUAGGUAUGUGGAGGGUCUCAAGACUAUGCAUGGCGAUGGCGAUGGUCAGUCCACGAUGUGCCUUGUGUAUAACGCGACCGGCAGCACCCUCCACCACGUCCUCCAGCACGACUGGUCUGGUCAUAUUGGCAGGGCUCCCUAUCCUGCCUUGACCGGCAACGGCCAGUGGGCUGCCUUUCAUCACGUUGCCCAGCCCGGCGAGCCAGAUUCGCUGGCGGCGGUCCUCUACCGAGGGAAGAACAAAGAUGGCCACGACCAUGAUUACUUGCUUGCGUGGCAUACACCGUCGAGAUGGUAUGAGUGCAACAAGGUACGUGCAUCCUAUGUCCUAACCAGUGCUGGUUGUUCCAACUCAACUGAUCUUGACAACCUAAUAACAUGCGUAUGUAUAGUGCUUCACAUGUUACUGAUAUGCAUGCAUACACAGGCGUAUUGCGACAUCGGUGGUGUCGACUACUUCAAAAAUCGUUGGGCUGAUAUACACAGCAAACUGAGCAAAUCCGAUUACUCUUCGGACGCCAUAUACGGUGGGUGUUAUAUUGAAGCAAAAAUUGGAGGGGGCAAUAGUCCUAAGUUUACUGCAAGAAUCACCUCCGUGGACGGACAUCGCCAGCAUUGGCAACCAGUUACGUUUGUCCAAGCUGCAGAAGUCGUUGGGGAACUGACGGAUGAUGGUAUUAUGUCACUCUAAUAAUUCCAACAUAAAGAAAUAGCCCACUCGGUACUUUAUGACUUUACUGUUGUCAUUAUGUUUUUUUUUCUUUAUUUAAGUUAGACUGUUGGUAUUGUACUAUUGUCUAUGUGCAUCUUGAGACCACGUUUCACUACUCAUGCUUUCUAUUUUCUUGAUGCUACAUUUUGAGUUAAUAAAACCGUCAUUUUUUGAAGAAGAUAAAAUGAUCGCACGGAUGUGGAAGUGCGUACAUGUUAUGGAUAUUAAUGUAAUUCAUCUGAUCCAAGCAAGGAACUGCAUGCAAAUCUUCAUCUCACUGAUGUGCACAGGAAGCAGUGCUGAAAUACAAUGAUGUUGGGGAACUGUGUCCGCCAUUAGCAACGAAUAAGACCUCCCAAGUGUCGGGGGGUUGUCGGCCUCGGCCCCUGUGUGUUCAAUUACUUCUUGCCACCGCCCAUCUCCAGGAGCGAAGAGAGGAGCGAAGAGAGGCUCAUCCUCGGCGCGACGAGCCGUCCAUCGGCAAGGCCAUGUCCUUGAGGAGCACCAGGAGCACGACACCUCCCAUUCCCGUGCCCGGCGACGUCAGUGGCGGCGAGGACACUAGCAGCGGUGGGGAGCACAAGUAGCAAGAUGGUGGCAGACGGCGAGGAGAGUAAGUGCGGCGGCGAUCAUGAGCACGAGCACACAUAAUUAAAACGUUCCAUAAACGUUGUUGUUAUAUGCGAGAUGUUACAGUGUCACGUUAGCCAUGUUGGAAAAGUCAACAAGACCGUCCUACACCGUUGAUUGGUGGUUUAUGCAAAAAGAUUAUUGUACAUGAAGCUUUUGCCAAAAUUUUGAAAAAGAAAUUCCCCCAAACCUUAGCCCUCAACGUGGUUGCUUUGGUUGCUUCGUACAAGUAACACCUGGUCCUUUUUGUAUACAACAAACUGCUUUAUUCUCAUAAGAACGAUAUAACUGCAGUUUUACAUAACAGGCUUUGCAAGACAGAAAAAUAAUAACCCAGUCCUGCACUGACGACUUGACGUUGACGAGAACCCGCACGAAGAAGAGUAUUGCUGCAGCAAGGAACCAACUGUGUCGCCAUGAGGACUCCGCCAAGGGAAUCCUCGAGGCUUCCUAAGAUGCUUGAGCCACCCGGGAUGUCCGGGAUCUAAGACCGAUGAACACCUGUUGGCCGUGAUGGCAAAUUCCUUAGAUCAACCAGAUCUAUAUUCGCGAAGAAAGAAAACAUCGUCCGCAAGAGUGGGAAGGAAGAAGAGCGUUAACCAUCUUGCAAAGGAGCCACACACCACCUACCAAGAUCUGAAGAGAGUUGAUAGAUUCGAGGACACAGACUCUUACAUGCCCUUCACCAGCGCCGAAUCAGACGUCAUCGAGACAGGGAAAUACCUUAUUCCCAUAAAACAUCUUGUUGUAGCAUUCGGAGCAGCAGCCCAAAAGAUGUUUGGUCGGCCGCAAGGAGAAGGCUGACGCAAAAUACAGGCCCAAUCUCAUGAAGUGGAAAAAAAACUGAGCNNNNNNNNNNNNNNNNNNNNNNNNNNNNNNNNNNNNNNNNNNNNNNNNNNNNNNNNNNNNNNNNNNNNNNNNNNNNNNNNNNNNNNNNNNNNNNNNNNNNCGACCAAAGCCCCCAAGUGAUGUUGUGGCUUUACGCCUAUCAAAAGGUGUUGCUAUGGUUCGGAUACGACCAAGCCCCCAAGUGAUCAAUAAUAUGAUAAGCCAAUAAGGCAGGAUACCCAUGUUUGAACCGCGCAUCAUGGCAGCAGGUCCUCUUUGGCACCCUUUAACUUUUUGUAAGAGAUAAAUCCUUCUUGAACCGGGAUUUUGAACCGGAUAUUGAGAGCUUCAAAGCUUUGUGGGAGAUAUCUUUCCCUUGAACCGGAUUGUAAACCGGAAUCUUCAUUUUUAGCCGGAAACUUUCUGAUGGCCUUUCAACUCGGACUUGCGAGAAGUUAAUUCCUUUUUGGACCGAACAUUUUUAAACCGGAUUUGAGCCAGAUACUAAGGGCUUCAGCUUUGUGUAGGAGACGGGAUUCCCCUUAAACCGGACUAUAAACCGGAAGCAUCAUUGUGAGCCGGAAUAUUUCUGACGGCCUUUAAAUUUUCAUCAAUAUAACAGUAGCCUCCAGGACCGGGUUUCCCUUCAACAUCCUAUUGCACUUGAAUUUGCUGAAACUGGCAAGACUUGCUGCGUCAUAUCAUCGUAGCCCCCGCAUCUUAAGAUGACUCAAGGAGUUGUCUUGAGAUUCUCCAUACUUUGACCAUAGCAGAAGGUAUAUAUCAUUGGUGUUGAUAACGCAAUGUAAAUCCACAGAAGGCUGAGGUGACUGCGGCGGGUUAUAAAUGAUCCCGUAUGAGCCGUGUCAGCAACUCGGCCAAUGGUUCCUUCCAACUGGCUAUUUGAAGUUGACCAAACUGUAGUGGCAGCGAUUUGUGUGCAUGUCCAUUGAACCAUCCAGCGCAGACGACGGCUGAUGAUAACUUGCCUCCAAUUUGCUGAAAGAAAACCGGUGCGGCCCGGUGUGUUGAUGUAGACCAGACCGCAAGGGGCGGCAGCGCAAGCACUUCCAUUGAGCAUGGCAGCAUGGAUAAAUGUUAGUGCAACAUGACGAUAGUAUGCACUCCAUAUCCGCGAUAUAACUCCACUUCGACGGUGAAUAAUUGUCCUGAUAUAUUUGAAUAACAGAUGAUCUUGUCGUCUCUGCCAUGAUCAUGAAACAAAAAAUAUUUAAAGGGAGGACAAUUGUUCCCGGAGGAACUUUAAAGUAUAUUGAAAAAAUAAAUAAGGUGGAUAGCACCUGAUCUUUUCCUGGGAUGUCAAGCCAGCCAUGCCCGUCGUCGUGUUUCCAAUUGAUCUGAAGUUUACUGCUUCCACCUCUUUUUUUUAAACUGCUGGAGCAUAUGCUUGAAGUUUUGGCUCUGGCGUCUUUGAGAAUUUUGAAGCGAGCCCGUAGAAAAACUUCUGAAUAGCACUACUAACUGGCGUGUUAGUGCCUUUGUCUUCUAACGGGAGCAAUUUUCCAUCAAACUUUGGGAGCUGUGCCAUGCAAUAGUACUGGUAAUUUUCCAUCAGACUGAGGAAUCCACACGUCGAUCGAUCCAACAUACUCCCACUGAUAUGACACCUUCUCCGGUGGACCUGGAGACAUCCUUCUCAAUCUCCAAUGGCAUUCUUAGGCCAAAAAACUGCAAAGCACACUGUCUUCGCUACUGAUCCUUUGGCAAGUCUAGGUGAAAAUUUCCUUUGGCCUAAAAUCCAGUAUAUUGAGCCCAUACAUUUGGAAAAAACUCUGAAUCAGUGGCGCCCAGUACCACAGCUCCAGUGGCUUCGUCAACUCAAACUGUCCGCGGCGACGGAAAUAAACGUAGGUUCAGGCGUGCGUCAACCGAGCGGAGGAAAGGUGCGUCACAUCGAUCGGGCAAUCUAUCGCGCCCGUCCGUGUGCAUGUUAAGUACUAUUCCCUUCAUAAAAAAAAUAAAAAUACUUUUUUUUUGCGGGGGAAAAAAAUAAAUAAAAAUACUUAGAUCACUAUUUAUUGUACUCACUAAAAAAUGUCUUUAAUUAAUCCUUUGGAGAUGAACGUGAAAAGAACGAUGCAUGCAUGGACCACAACCAGGGGUCCAGGGCGGUGCCUACAAGUACUGCACGCGAUGCAUUCAUCGAAACUUCUGCACGAGGAGCGUAUCGUGCUCAACACAGGAGGUUCCAGAGAGUAAACGUGUUUUGUUACAACGCACAAGUACUCCCUUUGUCCCGAAAUAUAAGAACGUUUUUGACACUAUGCUAGUGUAAAAAACGUUUUUAUAUUUUGGGACGGAGGGAAUAUUUAGCUACUUGUGUUAGAAUGCAACUAACAACAUUUGUUAAAAUCGGAAUUAAAAAAAUGGGAUUUUAAAAUUAUUUUUAAUAAAUAUUGAGAAAAGUAUAUGAAAUUUUCUUGGAUUUUAAAUUUGGAGAACUAUUUUCUAAUAUUUGUGGCCACUUUUUAAAAAGUUAACAACACUUUUUAUUUUCUGAAUACAUUUCUAAAAUUUACUAAAAAAAUAAUAUCCUGCUUUUCUCUAAAUUCUUGAACAUUUUUAAAAAAACAUUUUCUGAGAAAAGGACUAAAAUUGCACGGGAACGAGAAAACGUACCAAAUGAAAAUAAGGCAAGCGAAGCUUAAACGGGUUAGCCGUGUCACUCGCCUAAGCGAUUGUGCGGCAUUUUGUGUUUUUAUCUUUGAAAGAGCUGCAAAUAGGACCUCCCACAUUAAGCGUGGCGCAUAGCCACACCCGCUGCUUGAUAAGAUAGAAGAAUCUGCACUCUAGAGAGUGGGCCUCUAAGAAGCAAACAUUUUUAAAGCCCAGUUGAACUCAAGUUACAAAACACGGGCCUAUCUAGGAUGAAUGCCCAAAAAACACAAAAGUGCCCAAGAAAAAAUAGAAUAUUCACCCAAAGAGAAGAAUAAAUCUGCAUCACCAAAAUGCUCUACCAGAUUGCAGCAAUCAACUGGGUGUCUCUUUCUUUAACAGCCAAAUGGGUGUCUUAUUUACUCAGAAAAGAUCUAGCGGCAAAGAAAUUAAACACCGAAGCAGAUUCAGAGUGAAAGUUUCGUGAUUUCCAUUCAUAUAACCAGAGAUUUGAAGAUUUGGUGGUAUGUAAUGAAUAAUCUCACUGAACAAAACAUGUCUAUAGUUAUACACUUGUAUAUCGUCCACUCUUCCUGAAACCAAGGAAACCUCUGCUUUACUUUUUUUUGCGAGUAAAAGAAAAAAGAAAAAAGAGUAAAGCGGAGGUUUUCACUCCUUGAGUGGAAACCUCUGCUUUACUGAUGCUUAAUACAAUCACAGGCAUAGGAAUACACUUGUCUCACUUGUGCCUCAACUCUUCCUCUCAUUACACAAAGAUUAAUAUACAGGCCACCAUCUCUGAAUGCUUCCCCCCUGCCCAUGCUGAAUCUAUUAGCCUCCUCUUACGGGUGGAUGCCAUAACUUUUUUGCAGGUACAACAUUGUUGCAUCUUGGUGGACAACCAAAAAACUCUCCUGGGCUGUACAUGAUCAACAACGACAACAGGCAACAAUGAACUGGAGACUUCGUCCAACAAUUGCUUAUUGCAAAGCUAUUCACUUAUCUUCACAGGAAUCAACACAAAGUAGCUGAUGGUUUUGCUAGAGCAGCCCAGCAAUCAGUUCUACAUGUAACCUGUUUGAAACUUUGAAUGCUUCUCAUAUCAAUACCUGUAGUCUUCUGCAGAGGCUAUCGGUCAUGCCUCCGCAUCCAUGUAACUGGUUGUGAAGCCUAACAAUCUGAAACUUAGUGUACAUCAUGCAAAUAAAAUGCAUCUGAUGGGCCUUUUGCCUGCCCAAAAAUAUGGUAUCGGCUACAUCAUGCAAAUGCAGGUACUCCCAGACUGCAGGAAACAAAUUGGUGGUCGCCUUAUUUGCAANNNNNNNNNNNNNNNNNNNNNNNNNNNNNNNNNNNNNNNNNNNNNNNNNNNNNNNNNNNNNNNNNNNNNNNNNNNNNNNNNNNNNNNNNNNNNNNNNNNNGUUCGUAGUCGGAUCGUCAAAGUCGACUUCCACCAAAGCGAAAUCCACCAUCUCAUCGAAAGACGGGACACCUUUGCCUCUAUCACUCUUCCUCCAUAUAUACAGCCCUUAGGGCAUCGUUUAGACUUUGGGUUUUGUUUAGAUUAAAAGUUCGCCAUAGCUGCAACUUCGCGUACUUCGUUUGUGUUCAACGACCAGACAAAGGCGUCACAGAACCCCACCUUGAUCAAUAAAGCUUUCAUCUUAUAUUCACAAUAUCCAGAUUGCAAUCUUAGUUUCUUGCUUGUUCUUCGUUUGCUCGCAGGAAACAGACCCUCGUGGUCAGGUUGAUCGUGCUCCGGCGUGGUCAAUAACCUCUCGGAGUUGGUUUAGCGAUUGCUAAGGCGCGACGUCCUCGCACGUUCGUAGUCGUACCGUCAAAGUCGACUUCCACCAAAGCGAUAUCCAUCAUCUCAUCAAAAGACGGGACACCUUUGCCUCUAUCAAGUGGUAUCAGAUUUCCAGGUUGCUCGGUGAGAUUUUACAGUUUUUCGUAGUUUAGAUCGAGUCUGUAAGGGAAGAGGAUAUUUUGUGAGAGAAUGCCAAUCUCAGCGUGUGAUGAUUGCUACUGAGGAUGGUGGGUAUGAGUCUGCUAGAGACUAUGAUGAGGAGACUUUGGCUCUUAUUACAUAUGAAGAACACGGUGGAGAUGAUUCUGAUCAUGAGACACAAUACAUGGCUGCUGAAGAUGCUGACAGGUACGAAUGUUUAGUUGCUCAACAUGUUUUGAGUGUGCGGGUUACACAAGCUGAGCAAAAUUAGAGGCAUAAUUUGUACCAUACAAAGGGAGUUGUGAAGGAACGUUUUGUUCGCGUCAUCAUAGAUGGAGGGAGCUGCAAUAACUUGGCUUUUGUGUGCAAAGAGGCAUUAUUUUCAUUCGAGGACGUGCCUUCCCCAUUGCCUCCUGCUGUCACUAAUAUUUUGCAGGAGUUCGCUGACGUCUUUCCACAAGACGUGCCACCGGGAUUACCACCUAUUCGAGGGAUUGAGCAUCAAAUUGACUUAAUUCCUGGUGCAUCAUUACCCAAUCGUGCACCAUACCAUACCAAUCCAGAGGAGACAAAGAAGAUUAUGCGUCAAGUACAAGAACUGCGCGACAAAGGUUAUAUACGCGAACCCCUUAGUCCUUGUGUUGUUCCUAUCAUUUUAGUGCCGAAAAAGGAUGGUACGUCGCGUAUGUGCGUUGAUUGUAGAGGCAUUAAUAAUAUUACUAUUCGUUAUCAUCAUCCUAUUCCUAGGCUAGAUGACAUGCUUGAUGAACUGAGUGGCUCUACAAUAUUCUCCAAAGUUGAUUUGCGUAGUGGAUACCAUCAAAUUGGUAUGAAAUUGGGAGAUGAAUGGAAUACAACAUUUAAAACUAAGUUUGGAUUAUAUGAGUGGUUAGUCAUGCCUUUUGGGUUAACUAAUGCACCUAGUACUUUCAUGAGGUUAAUGAACGAAGUUUUACAUGCUUUUAUUGGACGAUUUGUGGUAGUUUACUUUGAUGACAUAUUGAUUUAUAGCAAAUCUUUGGAGGAACAUUUGGAACACUUACGUGUUGUUUUUAUUGCUCUACGUGAUGCACGUUUGUUUGGUAACCUUGGAAAGUGCACCUUUUGCACCGACCGAGUAUCUUUUCUUGGCUAUGUUGUUACUCCAUAGGGAAUUGAAGUUGAUAAAGCCAAGAUUGAAGCUAUUCAGAGUUGGUCGCAGCCCAAAACGGUCACACAAGUGAGGAGUUUCCUUGGCCUCGCUGGUUUCUAUAGGCGUUUUGUGAGAGAUUUCAGCACCAUUGCUGCACCUCUCAACGAGCUUACAAAGAAGGAUGUGCCUUUUGUUUGGGGUACCGCACAGGAAGAAGCCUUCAUGGUAUUGAAAGAUAAGUUGACCCAUGCUCCUUUACUCCAACUUCCUGAUUUUAAUAAGACUUUUGAGCUUGAAUGUGAUGCUAGCGGAAUUGGAUUAGGAGGUGUGUUAUUACAAGAUGGCAAACCUGUUGCAUGCUUUUCUGAAAAAUUGAGUGGGCCUAGUCUGAACUAUUCUACUUAUGAUAACGAAUUAUAUGCUCUUGUUCGGACCUUAGAAACAUGGCAACAUUAUUUAUGGCCCGAGGAAUUUGUUAUACAUUCUGAUCAUGAAUCUUUGAAACACAUUAAAAGUCAAGAAAAACUGAACGGUAGACAUGCUAAAUGGGUUGAAUUCAUUGAGACUUUCCCUUAUGUCAUUAAACACAAGAAGGGCAAAGAAAAUAUUAUUGCUGAUGCAUUGUCUUGUUGUUAUUUUGUUCUGGAUAACAUAAAUAGAUUAUUGAAUAGUUUGCACUAGAAAUCACCUGACAAAUAUGCAUAUAUGCAAUAUUUUUGGUCAUAUCCAAGGUAGUCAUGUCCUCAUCAACUAUGCUUUCACAACUUGACUUUGAAAUAUUUGGUUUGGAGACCAUCAAAGAUCAAUAUGUGCAUGAUGCUGAAUUUAAAGAUGUAUUGCAGAAUUGUAAGGAAGGGAGAACUUGGAACAAGUUCAUUCUUAACGAUGGAUUUGUGUUUCUUGCUAACAAGCUAUGCAUUCCAUCCAGCUCCGUUCGUCUUUUGUUGUUGCAGGAGGCGCAUGGAGGAGGAUUAAUGGGACACUUUGGCAUCAAGAAGACAGAGGAUAUACUUGCUACACAUUUCUUUUGGCCAAAGAUGAGACGGGAUGUUGACCGUUUUGUUGCUCGCUGCACUACAUGUCAAAAAGCUAAGUCACGACUCAAUCCUCAUGGUUUAUCUAUGCCUUUGCCUGUACCUAGUGUUCCUUGGGAGGAUAUAUCUAUGGACUUUGUUUUAGGUUUACCUCGAACAAAGAAGGGGAGGGAUAGCAUAUUUGUUGUCGUGGAUAGGUUCUCGAAAAUGGCACACUUUAUACCAUGUCAUAAAAGCGAUGAUGCAUUAAUGUUGCUGAUUUGUUCUUUCGUGAAAUUAUUCGCUUGCAUGGUGUGCCAAAUACUAUUGUUUCAGAUCGUGAUACUAAAUUUCUUAGCCAGUUUUGGAGAUGUUUAUGGGCUAAGUUGUGGACUAAACUACUUUUUAGUACUAUUUGUCACCCCCAAACUGAUGGACAAACUGAAGUAGUCAAUAGAACAUUGUCUACUAUGCUUAGGGCUGUUUUGAAGAAUAACAAGAAAAUGUGGGAAGAAUGCUUGCCUCAUAUUGAAUUUGCUUAUAAUGGUUCAUUGCAUUCUACUACUAAGAUGUGCCCUUUUGAAAUUGUGUAUGGUUUCCUACCUCGUGCACCUAUUGAUUUGUUGCCUCUUCCAUCUUCGGAGAAGGUUAAUUUUGAUGCUAAAGAAUGUGCUGAAUUGAUUUUAAAAAUGCAUGAGUUAACUAAGGAAAACAUUGAGCGUAUGAAUGCUAAAUAUAAACUUGCUGGAGAUAAGGGUAGAAAACAUGUUGUGUUUGCACCUAGAGAUCUUGUUUGGUUACAUUUGCGUAAGGAUAGAUUUCCUAAUUUGCGCAAAUCAAAGCUAAUGCCACGUGCUGAUGGUCCUUUUAAGAUGUUAGAGAAAAUAAAUGAUAAUGCAUAUAAACUUGAGCUGCCUGUAGAUUUUGGGGUUAGUCCCACUUUUAACAUUGCAUAUUUUGUUUCAAGAAGGGGAGGAAGAUGAACUUUCGUCGAGGACGACUUAGUUUCAAGAAGGGGAGGAUGAUGAGGACAUCAAUACCAUUGUUACACCCACAACCCCUGCUGCUAUACAUACUGGACAAAUUACUAGAGCUCACGCACGCCAAUUGAAUUAUCAGGUACUUUCGUUUCUUGGUANNNNNNNNNNNNNNNNNNNNNNNNNNNNNNNNNNNNNNNNNNNNNNNNNNNNNNNNNNNNNNNNNNNNNNNNNNNNNNNNNNNNNNNNNNNNNNNNNNNNGAGCCGGAUUAUAGACCGGACCGUGCACGCUGUCAACCAGCGCAGGAGGGCAAGGGAGAGAGCCGUCGACAUAGCCAAGCAGAUAGUGACUCCCAAGAAGCGGAAGAACCUGCGCGCGCCAGAAGAUGUAAUUGUCCGACGACAACUUGAUGGUGAUGAGAUGACCGAAGUGAAACGGCGGCGGCGGCUGCGAUCCCAUCGAGGAGACUGGCUGAGGUGAGACCACCGUGGAGACAGUCAGAGGGGCAGCCGGCGCGGUGACAGAGGGCGCGAUGGCCGCAGUUGACGCCGCGAAGCCUGCCAGCGCGACGUCCUCCGCCACCAGCGGCGCAGUGGCCGAAGGCGCGACAGCCGCGGUUGACGGGGCAGCGGCGGUGUGGGCCACAAGCGCCUGCCCGGGCAAAGUAGCAGCCGGCGGGAGCGCGAAGAGGGAGCCGACGCUCCGUGUCCCGAUCGGCGCCUGAAGGGAGGCGGCAUCCAGCGGCCUCGAGAGAAGUGCCGCGAGGUAGGCCGGCAGAAAACCGGUGGCGGUGGAGCCGAACGCAGCGGCGGACGUCAUAGCAGUCGGGCGACGGCGACGGCGGGCGCGGCGGCGGCGGCGGCGGCGGCGGCGGCGGUUUAGGGUUUUUAGGCGGAAGCGGACGUAACCUAGCGUGAUACCAUGUAAGACAAUAGGCUUUGGGGGGAACCGCCACAACCCUAUAGGGGUGGCCUAUCACAUAUAUAUAUAAUGAGGUGGUAUACAACGUUACAAUAUACACAUGUAAAUACAGUCUAACAGUGUCUAUGAUGAUGCAUUGGAAUCAAGUUCCGUGUGUGCCUGAUGAGAGAUAGGGAGUUAAUCUCCCAUUGUAGAAAUAGUACUGCAUUUGCGACAGGGAGCGGUGGUUCCUAGUAGCUACUACUCCGUACUUGGUAAGUUAAUUUCUUUGGCCAUUCGAGGCAUUUUAAAGUGACUCUACAUGAUCGUACGUCGGUGUACUCUUGCGUCGAUGAUCUGGUUGCGUCGGUGUACUCUUGCUGUCCACAUGAUCGAAUCGAAGACACCUCGAUAAAAAUUGAAUGGUGCGACUCAAGGUCCCGACAAAGACUUUGUAAUACGCAGUUAAAUUUUGAUGCCUUGAGUUUGUGUCAGAUAUUGAAUAUUCUAUGAGGUUGGUUAUGUUGGACUCGAGGUCGAGGCGGGGAGUAACUUAGAGUAGUAACAUGCAUAUGUUACUAGUCUAUGUUACUACCUUUACAAUGGGGAGUAACAUAUGUGUGGUGUCAAUGUAACACUUCAUUUAUUAAGUCAUACACUCAUCUUGUCUUGCUAUGUGUGAUAUUACUCAUAUUACUAGUAACUAGCUAUGUUACCACAUCACUCUCUUUCUUUAUUAAUUACUUGCCAGUUCAUCUACUUUGUCUAAAUAUGUGUGAUGUUACCAUCUAUGUUACUCUCAUUGUAGGUAGUCUCAGCCUUUAUAUAAAAAUCUCGCGUAACUUUAUGUGUGUCUAGAAUUACUCAUUUUCUAAUGUAACGAGAUGCUUCUGGAUAACGUAGUCCAAGUAAUUUCAGCUCCUCGAGUUGACUUGGAACGGCGCCCGAGUCACCUAGGUUGGCGAUGUGUGGACCUCGAGGGUGUCGUUAAUGAUCCGGAUUUUAAGAGACUUUAUUUAAAACAAAAUGGUGCAUACAAAUAUGACAUCUCCAAAGUAAUUGCAAAAAUACAAACAUGUAAUUUAACAACAACAAAAAAACAGAAUCUGAAAAACAGACUUCAGCCAUGAGUACAUAUGUGUAGUUGUCAUUCCUCACUAUGAGUGCAACGCGAACCAACCUGUGGUUGGAUGGUUAGAGGGACUCUGAUUUAUUUCAGGAUUUCCGGCGACGCGUUUUUAGUGGGAGGAGAGUGUGCAUGUGUGCAUCCAUAGGGAUGAGCGUAUGAGCAUAUGUAUGAUCACUUGUGCCGGUAUUGUGAUUAAAAAAGGCAUCUACUCAAGUACCAACUAUUGUUCGUAUCUUUCUAAUCAACGCUUCUUUUCAUCGGCGGCGGAUACUAUUCUGGUGCGCUGGUCCUAUUGGACCUUAGCACGACUACUUCCCGAUUGUCUACUACAACAUGGUUUGGCCGGCUUCGAUGAGGGAAGGGCGAAGAAGACGGCGCGCCUUUGGCUCGCUCCAGUGCAAGUAGUCGUCGCUAGGUCAUUUACAGACCUAUAUGUAUUUUUUACUUCUGGUGUUCUCUGUACUACCUUGACAGUUGACGAAUAGAUCAGAAGUUAUCCAAAAAAAAGUUCACACUGGGUAAGCUAGUCUUCAAAACUCAUGGCAAUCGUUAUUAAAUCGUUCGGUUGUGUUCAUCCUCGUCGUCAUAUGCUCGGUUGACAAAUGAUAGAUAUCAUCACUAUGGAUGUACUCCCUCUGUGUCACAAUACAGAACAUUUUUUGACACCACUCAUUGUCACACGCGAUCAUCGAGUUCACCAUACGUGUUUGGAUCGACGUUCAUUCUUCCUCCAGCCAUCUCCAUUAGCGGAAUCCCAAAGCUUUUUUAUGUUGUAUAAACUACAAAGGAGUGGUAAUUUUACAAGCCAAACAGGAGACUCUACGUGACAGUGAUGUUGUUUAUUUUUGUGUGUUGUGCGAAAGUUGGGUAAACACAAUAGAUUCUGCGUACGGGUGUUCAUGUACACGUGAUGGUGAUGUUCCUGACUUGAUGGAAAAGAGUCCAGGGGAAAAAACGGAAAAAAGUCGAGGUCUGACUUACUUCCCCAAAGAAAAACGGAAACCAGCAGGAGAGUAACAGUAGCAGCACGAAAAGGAAACGACCAGUAUCAGCAGGUAUGGACUCCCACGCGGUGUCGAGUCGCCUGCUGCACGCCACCUGCCUCACUGCACCCGCCAUUAAUCAGGGCAUUAAUCCGGCCACCGGCGCUUCCUACCACCCCUGUCUUCCGCUACUACCACAUAGCAAAACAAAAUGAGUCUACAAUCUAAUAAAUAAAGUGUUGCAUGACAUCAUACAUAUGUUACUUCCCAUUGUAGAGGUAGUAACACAGCCUAGCAACAUAUGCAUGUUACUAGUCUAAGUUACUACCCACUAUGGCUAGUCUAACCCGGUGUGAUUGUCACCCAAAGGUUUUCUGUCAUACGAAACUAGCCUCGAAGGCAUUUGCAAGCCAUCAACCUCAUCUUCUAGUAUCUCUACUACCUCACACACUGUCACGCAAUCAUUGAGUUCACCAUAUUCGUAUCGACGUUCGUUCUUCCUCCUGCCAUCACUAUUAUCGUAGAGCUCUUUUAUGGUACCCCGCGUGAAAUAUUAGCCAUCCAUUCUUGACAUCUAAUGGUGACGAUCAAUCUGUACUGCUCCAAUUUGCCAAUAGAAUCGCGAGCGGUAUAGCUUGCACCGCUUCUCUCCCGUCCUCCAUUAUACAAAUCGCGAGGGCAUUUUGAGAGUAAAAAGUUUCUGUCCACCCGUCUCGCUCUCCGGGGACUGGUCCGCAGUGACGAGGCCGGCUGGGCCGGCAAGGUGCAGCACCUUCGAACCGACUUUUACGCCUUCCGGACAUCCGAUGCCUCCCGGCGCAUGCUGCUCGCCAACGACAGCGGCCGGCCAUGCCAGCCAGGCAAGACCAUGACGGCUGGCUGCGGGCUGCCCUGGCCUGCCCUCUCGGAUCAUGAUGUCCGCGGACGGUGGCCGGCCAUGCCAUCAAAUCGCGACUAGUUUAUUUGGGCCGCAAGAGUUCCACCGAGAAGAGGUCAAUCGGUUAGAGCAGCUAGCGAGGUUCACCUACGCGGAGGCUGCUACCUCUUAGAGUAUAAAGUCNNNNNNNNNNNNNNNNNNNNNNNNNNNNNNNNNNNNNNNNNNNNNNNNNNNNNNNNNNNNNNNNNNNNNNNNNNNNNNNNNNNNNNNNNNNNNNNNNNNNUUGAAGCUUGGAUGUUGGAGAAACCGUAGGUCUUGGAUGAGUACUUGGCGUACUUGAAGUCAUCUUGCACUUGAUGUUCCGCCUUGGUUGCUUGAUGUACGAGCUCAAUGAGGUUGGAAUAGGGUUGGAAGUCGGCAAUCUUCUUGAUGGGAUGAUUGAGUCCAUUCAAGAAAUGUGCCAUUGUUUGCUCAUCAUCUUCGUGACAUUGGCUCGAAUCAUGGCUAUCUCCAUUUCCUUGUAGUAUUCUUCAACACUCUUUGUUCCUUGCUUGAGGAGUUGUAGCUUCUUGAAGAGAUCGCGGUUGUAGUAGGUUGGUACAAAGCGUGCUCGCAUGACAUCCUUCAUUUGAGCCCAAGUGGUGAUUGGUGGUUCACCUCUUGCUUGACGGCGUUCAAGUACUUGUUCCCACCAUAUGAGCACAUAAUCUUGGAACUCAAGUGAUGCCAUAGCGAUCUUCUUCUCUUCCUCAUAGUUGUGCAAGCGGAAAAUUUUGUCGACCUUUAAUGCCCAUGAGAGGUACUCUUCCGGAUCAUUGCUUCCAUUGAACUUGGGCAUUGUAAACUUGAGCUUGCCAUAGCGUUGCUCUUCAUUGCGUUGUUGGCGAUGGUGAUGAUGACGUCCUUGACGUGGAGGAUAAUCAUCCUCAUGUUGCUCUUGGCGUGGAGGAAGUCCAUGAUCAACUUGCUCUUGUUGAACUUGAGGUUGAGGUGGAGCUUGACGAGCUUGUUGAGGACCUUGUGGAGCUUGACGUUGCACACGCGGUUGGUAGUUCCUCUCUUGGAUUUCUUCUCGAAGGGCUUCCUCUCGAUUGCGCCGCUCUCGAUUGCGGUUGGCAAUGGCUCGGCUCGAAUCUUGAAGGGCACGUUGCGCCUCAAGAGCUUGCGCUUCAUGUUGUUGUUGUUGAAGACAUUGAGCCUCGGCGUCUUGUUCCUCUUGGUGUAGACAUGCUCGUUCUUCUUCUUGGCGCCUUAGUCGUUGCCUUUCUUGAGCUUGAGCAAAAACGACUUGGUUUGAUUGAGGACGAGGGAUUUGCUCGUCGACUUGUUCUUGUGAAUGCUUGUCAUGUAGCGGGUUCCGAGAUGCAUGCCGGUCUUGACGCGCAGCUCGACGAAGAGUGUUCGAUGACGGUGUACUUGUGUCGGAGAAGGUGUUGUCGGAGUGUCGACUUGAGCGGCUCCGUCUUGAGGAUGAAGAAGUGGAAGGAUGCCGGUUCCUCAUCAAGGCGCGGAUCUCGUCCAUUCUUGCAUCAUUCUCUUGCUUGUGAGAGUUGAACUUGUUGUCGAAGUAGUCUCUUGUACGUUGCUCAGAGAGUCGCAAGUUGGUGGCGAGGUUGUCGAUGCAGUCGCUCAUAGCUUGUUGCUCUUGGUGUAACGCCCUUUGAGUACCAAAGAGGUGGCUCUUUGUGACGAAUGAUGACAUGUCGUCGCCGUUCUCGAUGAGAGGUGGAGUGGUAGAAGAACUUAGCCUAUCCAUCAUACCAAGCAAACUGUAAGUGGUAGAAGGAGAAGAACGUGUACCAAAUGUACCUUGACCGAAGUUGAAGAUGGAUCAAGUCCACUCAAAUGCGGACAAUGAAAUAGCACUGUUGGUACCAAUUCUUGUCGGUUCUCACACCUACACACAUAAAAGCUUAUGGUGGAGCUUGGUUAGGAUGGUGGCACAAAAUUGGAUGUAAUAGUAACUGAGCUUCAAUAAUGUUGGAAAAGAUUCACAAAUUUGCAAAUGCAACAAGUAGACCAAGCAAGUAUGGGUACACGGAAACACACACGCAAAUAGAUAAAUGGGAUUGUGCAAUCCAAAAUUGAGCCAAAAUGUGGAAACCACAAAAUGCUCUUGUUGCACAAUACUAGAGAGACGCUAGCACGAUUGCAAAAUAGGCGGAUACACAAACUUGUGCACAACCUACUAGGCAAAAAUGCAACGAUCUCUAUCCCAAGUAUUCUAUAUGUAUGAUAUUUCGGUGCUAUGAUCCAAGAUGAUCGGAUAUGACAAUCUUAAUGUUGUAUGAUGCUAUGGUUCUUGCUUAUAAGCUCUUUGCUUAUCUUUCCUCUUUGCUUAGAAGCUUGGGUGGCUCUUUCACUUUCGAGCUCUUUUCUCAUGCAAAACUCAGGAACCAAGGUAGCGAUUGUGUAUGCUAUGACAACUUUGUGACACACAAGUUGAUCUCAAGAUAUACACCACUAUUGUAUGGUAUGUAUGCUAUGGAGUAUGAUCACUAAUGUGCACAAGUCACAUUGCCUGCAAUACUCAACAGCUAGUCUCGAUGGGUAAGCUACGCAAAAGUAGGGACAUGUGGGUAUCAAUGCAAUUGCAAGUUAUGACAAAGAUGUCGUCGAAGUUACCGUCCUUGCGAUGAUGAGACCCUUGCGAAGUUGAGCCGUGGCGAUGAUGAAAUCGAACCUUACCUAGAUAGCAGAAACACAAAAGGAUACGGAAGCCACAACUCAAAAUCUCAAAGACCAAAUUGUGUCAAAAUCGUCAUAGGAGGUAGCGGGGAAGAUGUUGGUGUAUGUGUGAUAGAGGCAAAGGUGUCCCGUCUUUCGAUGAGAUGGUUGGAUUUCGCUUUGGUGGAAGUCGACUUUGACGAUCCGACUACGAACGUGCGAGGACGUCGCGCCUUAGCAAUCGCUAAACCAACUCCGAGAGGUUAUUGACCACGCCGGAGCACGAUCAACCUGACCACGAGGGUCUGUUUCCUGCGAGCAAACGAAGAACAAGCAAGAAACUAAGAUUGCAAUCUGGAUAUUGCGAAUAUAAGAUGAAAGCUUUAUUGAUCAAGGUGGGGUUCUGUGACGCCUUUGUCUGGUCGUUGAACACAAACGAAGUACGCGAAGUUGCAGCUAUGGCGAACUUUUAAUCUAAACAAAACCCAAAGUCUAAAGGAUGCCCUAAGGGCUGUAUAUAUGGAGGAAGAGGGGGGAAUUUCGUGGCCCUUGGUGGAGGGGUCCGAAAUCAACCCUAUCUCUUGUUUCCCCACACAUACAGACUCUAAAAAUAGCCUAUACUUAUGUAUUUCGAAAUUACAUGGGCCUGGCCCAAUAAUAAGGUGACGCAGCACCUAUGAUAGAGGCGGAGGUGUCCCGUCUUUCGAUGAGAUGGUUGAUUUCGCUUUGGUGGAAGUCGACUUUGACGAUCCGACUACGAACGUGCGAGGACGUCGCGCCUUAGCAAUCGCUAAACCAACUCCGAGAGGUUAUUGACCACGCCGGAGCACGAUCAACCUGACCACGAGGGUCUGUUUCCUGCGAGCAAACGAAGAACAAGCAAGAAACUAAGAUUGCAAUCUGGAUAUUGCGAAUAUAAGAUGAAAGCUUUAUUGAUCAAGGUGGGGUUCUGUGACGCCUUUGUCUGGUUGUUGAACACAAACGAAGUACGCGAAGUUGCAGCUAUGGCAAACUUUUAAUCUAAACAAAACCCAAAAUCUAAACGAUGCCCUAAGGGCUAUAUAUAUGGAGGAAGAGGGGGGAAUUUCGUGGCCCUUGGUGGAGGGGUCCGAAAUCAACCCUAUCUCUUGUUUCCCCACACAUACGGACUCUAAAAAUAGCCUAUACUUAUGUAUUUGGAAAUUACAUGGGCCUGGCCCAAUAAUAAGGUGACGCAGCACCUAAAAUAGCCUCGGGACGAAAUUUAUGAAGUGGCAUCUUGUAUAUUUCGUCCAAGGCUUCAUGCACCCAUUAUGGUGGCUUCAAAGUCCUGAAAUCAUCACUUGUAACUCCGUUCUUGUUCCCCUUGCGCAUGCCAUCAUCUCCAUGCUUGUUCUUGCUCCAAUGUUCAUCCUUCUCCAAGCUAGGCCCUUCAUUUGUAAGCAAAACNNNNNNNNNNNNNNNNNNNNNNNNNNNNNNNNNNNNNNNNNNNNNNNNNNNNNNNNNNNNNNNNNNNNNNNNNNNNNNNNNNNNNNNNNNNNNNNNNNNNUCCCAGGUUUCUAAGUAGUCUGAUGCAUUUGCAAAUCCUUUCUUCCCGUUUCAAUAUUCCCAUGGGCCAGAUUAACCACACUAAUCAGCGAGUUGAGGUACUCCGUUACCUUGACAUAUAUGUUGGAGAUAUUAUUAUGACCCUAGGUGUCUUAGGGGAUCAUCUAGUAAUUUAGCCAUGAUUUGUGUUCCCAGUGUGAUGAUUCUGGCCAUCAUUCUCGAUAGCAUCCCGUGAUGCUACUUAGUAAUAGGUAUUCUAUCCCUGGGUUUUGAACCCGAGAUUCACCCUACUUGCUUCAUGUUGAUAGUUUUGCUCGUUUCUUUAGGUUAUUAGUAACCUUUGCAUUAGUCCUCGAUGUUCGUGGUAUUCCUUUCUUCCAAAUACUAUGAACCGCUUAUGGCAGAUGUUCCUCGCUGAUCGAAAGAUCACAAUCAGAGUGCUCUCGGUGGGUUCUCGAUUCUACAUUGUGACUCUGCCAGUCCUACCUCUCUGCAUGGGUUAUCCGGAAGAAAUAUGUUGAACUUGGUUCGACAUACUAAUCUAUGCAUCCACAACUCAGAAAAUUAUAUGUUCCUUUGAGAUGUUCUCUUUAGUUGCCUUCUGACCCUCGUCUAUCAAUUGAUAGUCGAGAGUAUGCGUGCAUUCGUUUAUCGAUGCCUAUUACUCUUGUGGUCCGUCAAGCCAUUCUAUCGCGGAAUGACUAGGAGAAACAAACUCCAGUACCUCAUCCAUAUCCAGGAUCGGGUCAAAGAAGUUGUCUUCCACAGAUCAGAUGCAAUCCAGCUUUUGGUUCUGUUCUACCUUGGAGUAUUACCUUAUUCUAUAUCGAGAUUGUUAUAGGAAUUGCACACCAUCCUAUGAACUCUUGGUACAGUGAUACUUCUCACCAUCAUUAGCCAUUCCUCGGCUCUCGUGUUGAUGCAACCGGAAUACCGACAAAUGAAUUGUGAUGUGUGAAAUCAAUACUCCCAGCAACCUCGUUGCUUGGUAGUUAAAGGAUAAUAAUUUCAUUCUUAGUGUGUUGGUUUUUGAAUCAUCCUUCUAAGACUGAUCGUGCUACCUAGUCCUUAUUUCGGUGCACCCUUCGAUUGAUGAGUUAGGAUCUUGUCAAUCCUCGCUUCAUUGAUCAUAUCGUCUUGCCCUCAAAAGCAAGAUUGUUCUCGAGCUUAGAGACAUAUCGAUGGUUCGUGAUUUUCCAAAUAUCUUCUCGGAAGUAUUACCAGGUUGUUCCCUGACUGUUAUGUUGAGCUUGUGAUCAAGUUGGGUUCUUGUGAACCACCCUCUCUCCAAGAUCGGUGUUAGAUAUCCCUGAGCUAGUUGGUUAAGCUAGACAACAACUUGGAGAGUUGGAAGAUAAAAGCUUGCCUGACUUAGUUCGUUCCAAAGGGAUAUUCUUGUGUAGUAUGUGUUGACGAAAGAUGAUAUCUUUAUCGAUUGGUCCCUGUGGUCAGUUGCUGGACCUAUCAUUUUUAUCUAACCUUUGAUUGGAGUAUGGGCUAUCAUCCAAUCAGACCAGAACCAACGAUAUUCGUAAUGUUGUCUUACUCGUGGUUGAUCCCUCGAGCAUACACCAUUAUAUCUUUUGGGUCUGACCAAUGCUAUCACUUGUUCACUUAACUAUGGAAUUCCUUUUAAAAGGAAACCCGGAAGAAUUGUUGUUGAGCCCAUUGACAACAUCCUUAUCUCCUCCAUGAUUUUGUUGAACAUUAAGCUAGUGUUGGAAACUUUUGAAAGCAUUCUUCAUGCUAACUCAUGAAGUAUUUGUUUGAUGAAAGGAGUGACUUCCUCUUAUACAUGUGCAUUUGAUGCAAGUUGCCGUCGUGGACUCGAGAAAGUCAAUGUUGUUCCUUUGGAAUCGUCCCAAAUCAGUCAUGCAAACGUGCGAAGUAUUCUGUGGUCUGGAGACUUGCAACCUUCAUUCCAUAUGUGUCCCGAGCACACCAAGCCACUGAUUGAUUUGUUCAAGGAGAAGAAGUUCCUUCAUAAGGGCUAAUCAUAUGACUUAUGCAAGGACUUCGUUAUCCACGGUGAUGGUUCCCAACCAGAACUCGGUAGUGUUUAAUUAUAAGACUACUACGUGGCCAUGCUUGUCUGGGACAACGUGUUCACAUGUUUGUAGCAGAACCAGCUCAUGUUUUGGAGCUUGCUAUCGUAGUUCAUUUCCUGAGAAUCUCGCAACGUCAUCUCGUCGAUUUGUGUUGCAAACUUUCAUUUUUUUCCUAGACUCGAUGAGUCUGGAAUAUCCUAACACCAACCAGAUCUGAAUCUCAGGCAGAUAUGAUGGUUGGAACAUUUUCCAAGAACUAUAAUAUUGGUCCCUCGAUAACCGGUAAAGUGGAUGUCGUGGCCAACACACCCAACCGGAAGACCUAUUAUUAUAAUAUCUUGAUUGAGGAAGUUGGCCACCUCCCCAUAGGGAUUUCGUAGGAUUUACUCCCUAGUUGCCCCUAUGGAUUUUGAGAUCCCGAAGUCCGACCUUUUUACUUGAUGUUCUAGAUAUCAAACCGUAUCUAUGAAUGGGUUACACUAGCACAUCAAGGAGAACAUUAGAAGCGGAGUGCUAAAUGUCUCUCGGUCGAUCAUCCAGAUUUUUAUUUCCUUGGCCUCGCUAAGGUGAAAUCUGAGAAAGUGUUAUCUUCCUUUGCAUCUGCAUCAUCCAUCAUCAUUCAUCAUGGUAGCAAGUUGUGUUGCCAGGAUCCUUGACACGGAUGUUGGUAAAACCUUGAUGAUUAUGGAAAUGCUCAAGUUCUUGAGAGCACGCUCAAGCGCUAGGUGUUAUCAUCGACGCUAACUGGGAUUCCUCUCAGUUUCCUCGGCAAUGCUAUGACCUUUUCAACCAGUGAAUUAACUCUCUAGUGUUGGGUUCUUCCCCAGUUACCAGAAUCAUUCCCAGCAUUUGCAUUUUGUUCCCAGCUUGCACCGCCAUUGUGCCAUUCUACCAUGGGUCUCUUCCAUUUCCGGUGAUAAGCAAAAAUCAUCCAUUACGUUGUCUUCAACAAGGUAAUCCACAUCAUCCAAGUUCGGGUAUGCCAUUCUACCGAACCCCUCUAAAUGAUCAAUUAUGAUUUGCCUUAAGCUGGUUUAAAGAGUCUCAAUGAUCUCUGAAUCAAAGGUAAUUCUUUUUGCCACUUAAGGCAAUAAUCUACGAAUCACCCUCCUCCAGGAUGUUUCGUCGUGGUAUCAUGGCAACUCAACUCCUCGCUACGUGGGCAAUCGUUUACCACCUUCUUAAGCGUGAAAUUGUUGUCCACCUAGUGAACCUUCGUCAUCCGUUUCUUUCCACCCCUCUUGAUGUGUAUCUCGUGUCUCAACACGAGAGAUGGAUCUAUGUCUCAUUCCGUGAGUUGUUCGGUCUUCUAGAAGAUCGAUCCUGCUAGAGUUUCCCUUUCCUCUCAUUGUCAUGUCAAUUGGAGUUCUCAGAACAAGACGACAAGACAAAGAUGGUGAUCGAAACAACGUUCAUUUGAAGUGCAACCUGGAUCGUGAAGAUCAUACUAGUUUGCGUUUCCCCUUCAUCUUACCCUACGCUUGAAUCUCGAGACGAGAUUCUUGUUUAGUGGGGGUGAGUUGUCACAUCCUUAGCUCUGGCCUGUUCUGUGAUUGCUUCCAUGUGUGCAUCAUGUCUAUAUUUCUGAAACUUGAACUGAGGAAUUUUGGAAGCCUCAAAAACUUAAAUAAAAGAGGGGCAAAAACCCUAGAAAUCUCAUUCAUUGCUCCAAAAUGCUCUUCUUAAAUGUUUGAUAAUUUUUGGUAAGGGUUCUGGUCCCAACCAAAAUAUUGAACAUUUUUAAGGAAUUAUUUUUGGGACUUUGNNNNNNNNNNNNNNNNNNNNNNNNNNNNNNNNNNNNNNNNNNNNNNNNNNNNNNNNNNNNNNNNNNNNNNNNNNNNNNNNNNNNNNNNNNNNNNNNNNNNUUCAUUUACUUUAUAAGCCCUUUAUGUGGUGUCAUAGAGACGCCCGACUAUGGCAUGCUUGUUAUUCAUUUACUUUAUAAUCCUUUUAUGUGGUGUUGCAUAGACGCCCGACUGUGACAUGCUUGUUAUAUCUUUUAUUUAUAAGCCCUUUUAUGUGGUGUCGCUCAGACGCCCGACUGAGGCAUGCUUUAUAUUAUUAUCCCUUCGAGGCGUCGCUUCAGACACCCGAUCGGUGCAUUCUAUUUCUACUCUCUUAUUGCAGAUUCAUGUUGUAAAUGAAUAACCCGCUUGCGUGCAUCAUGGAUUUUUAUUCCGUUACUAACGUUGUGAUCAUGAAAUAUUUCAGAGCAUGAUUAUCAUUUGUUAUAUUAUACAUGUGUUUAUAAUGUUUGCGAGUACAUUCAAAAGUACUCACUGGCUUGUCCCUGGCUAUUGUCUUGGCUAGAUUUCUUGCGUGGAGAGGAGCGUCACGAUGACAACCCCGGAACCUACGCAAUGGUCAUAGCAGCCUCGUGAAGAUAGGAGUUAUCCAGGUCAGGUGUUCCUGUGGGAAAUGGAGUCCCAUAGACGUUGAUGAUCCGCAAACCUCUUCCGCCAUCAACCACUAGAAACCAAUUGUUGUACUCAUAGGCCAGAAUGCUCUUGUACUACAUAUCUUGUAUUUUGCUUGGAAUUUCUGUAUCACAUUGGUGUCUCAUCAGCUAACAGUAAUCCUGGGGCUGGUGAGCACAAGGGCCAUUUUCUGGGAAAUGAAUAUCCCGAAAAUCCGGUCCUAACAACCUUGGUAUCAGAGCCAUGCUGACCAUUGGCUAAUCCUAUCUUAGCCAGGUCGAAAAACCUAGGUUAACCAACCCACGAGACCUUAACAUAGCCCCGGCCAAGCUUCUCGUGUAAGAUAGCCACACAGUGACCCCGACACCUUUUGGCAGUCGGUGCCAAACCUAUCAGCCUAGCCUGUCAAUCACGUGCCAGUGACCAACACCUAAAAUGUCUCAUUCGCAAGCGAGCGAAGGAAGACUCCGUCCCCUUUUUCUAUAAAAAGGGCACGCUAGCCUCAACCUAACACAGCACAGCCUCUACCCCAAAUCGAGCUAGAAUGCCUGGACCCAUUGUUCACAAUGAGACCACAGCAACCAACCUUGGAGGGUUUGUGACCGUGCUAGCAAACCUCAUCUGCCGUGCCUUUGCAUUAGAAGAGCCCCCAGAAUAUGUCGUGUACCAAGGGCCCAUGAGCGGUAAGAGCCGUCAAUUCUGGGCCGCUGUGCACGUCUAUGGUAGAGGUCUAUCGCCAGAAUGCCCCUACAGGUUCACCGGAAGGACAACUUCCUUUGAGCCACAAGCCAUCCAACUAGCUGCUCGAGAGGCUAUAGUUCAACUCCGGCACUUGUCGCCCAGAGUUAACUGUCGCUCUUUCUACUACUACCCCAGCCGUGAUGGGUAUGGUAGGCCACCCCAGGUUGCCAACGGAGAUCACGAGACGGAUCCUGCAUUGUUGCAUCUGGUGCGCUAUGUAAGUGCACUAGAGGAAUUGUUCGAUCAAAUCACCCUUGAUCUGAUCGCAGCCCAUGGAGAACUGGUUCGCCGAGCCCCGUCAAGAGGCGGAGAGGAGCCCGACACCGAUAACCCAAGCGUACUGUUCGGACAACCGAUCGAUUCCUUGAGGUCUGUCCCGGCCAUCGACCAAGGUGCUUUGGUGUCCCCAGAAGUGCUUUGCCGCCUUUUUGGGAACACGCUCCAACGGGAUCAUGGCCAACAACCCCCGCGAUGGUCAUCAUCGCUACCCCGACCCUGCAGCUCCUCAACCCCCUCCAGCUAACCACGAUGGUGAGACCCGUGGAGAAGCCUUGACGUCCACAAGGCACGCCCGCUUAGAUAUAAACGAGGUAGACUAAGUCACUCGAGUAGUACCGAGUCUUAGUAUGUCCACGCCCUGUAAUUGCCUGAUAUUGUAUCGACAUAAUUAAAUACUGUCUGCUUAUGCGCUCCUAUUUUAAAUAAUAGCCAUGCAUAAGUAUGUUGGCGUACGAUUGCAUUUUUUUAUUCCGGGCGUAUCUACCAAAAACCACCCCCGACGACACCCACAGUAAUACGUCACUUUUGUGAGAUAUGUGUAUCUGUGGCAUUAACCCCGGCCCCGUAGAGCAGAAGCGACAGACUAGUUUCCCCUCACAGUGAUAAAUGACCCAGACCAGAUGCUGUAUAAAAGGCCACCUCGUGACCUUGCCAAGUACCCCUUACCUUGUGCACAACUCUCACAGCCAUUCCCUUGCCAUGUCGAGCCCUAGUAUUUAUCUGAGAACUCCAGAUGCAACUCCAGGUAGUUUUGUUAGAGUAUUGUGGGAUUUUACCUGCAGUGCAAUGAGUUCCACCCAUCCACCCCAGUACGAGUUGCUCAAAUCGAGGAUCACCCCUUCCACCUCAAAAUAUUGGGCAGUGGUGCACAUCCCUCCCGCAAACCCAAACCAAGACCCAACGGAAGUCUCCUUCGUGGGGAAAUCUAUGUCAACCCCACAAAUGGCCAUAGAAGCUGCUGCGUACGAAGCGAUUGCUCACUUUCGAUUCGCGGUACCCUAUGCCAGCGAUCGAGGGUAUUAUUACUUCUCGAGUUGUGCAGCACCCAAAAAGUAGCAUCUUUUCCUGGUUGAUACAUCGAGAGAGACCCAGUACUGGCCAAUCUUGCCCAAUAUGUCAUCGCUCAAGAGCGUUUGACCCAGCGAGUAAUGGGUUAUCUCCAGAGCCUCGCUGAUUUAAAUCCUCAGAUCGCCAUCGGCAGACCACUGAGGCCCGACCAGGAGAGACGCAUUCAUCGACUAGUCAAUCUGCUUCCCCCGAUAGAAGAAGAGUGUGCCCCAGUACCAGAGACGUUUUCUCAGGACCCUGUACAUUUGCCGUUUUCAUUAUAGACAUCACUGCUAUGUUUAUUGUCCCAGCAUUUAUUUAUGUGUUGCAACUUAUGCGUGGUAUUCUAAAUUUGUGCGAUGAGUUAAAUAUUUGGAUUCAAUUAAUGUGAGUAGUUUUUACUGCUGUUAAUUUUGAUUAACUAAUUUUCGCUUGCGGUAAAUUCUGAAGUGAGAUUUUUUUUCCUAAGUUGUUACAGCAUAUAUCUUCACGACAUAGAUUUUUAUUCACGCAGCACCACAACAGCAGACUCACAACCCCAACCACUCGACCACAUGCACUAAUUGCAAAUCCGCGUUCACAUGUUGCAUCUAACUGAUUUUCCUCCCUAACGCACCACAGUCUAUGAAGGAGAGAAUUGUGGGUAAUUAUUCGGGUACAAGUUGCCUCCCACACACUAACAACAAGUUAGCACCCGACACCACACUUAGUCCUCAUGAUCACCGCCACAGCAGAGAGCUAACACUCGAGCGGCAGCAUCACGAUGAUCAUCGAGGAUCAUCUCGCACAAGAGCACGGAGAACCCCAGCAAUGUCGACAACCCUCCACACACCAGGAUCAUGUACCAGUCUGGCAUCGCCUCUGCCAUUAGAGACUCGUCUCGAGCUCCUGCGAACAGAAAUGGAGGAGAAGGAAGGACAAGGAAAAGCGAGGCCAGGUGUGAGGAAGAAGAGAGGAGCACCUCGGUCAUUUUAUAGCUCGAGGUCGGUGUACGGUGGGCGAAGUCCACCAGCGCCGCUCGUCCCUCGAUCGCCGGUGUUCAGAGGCGAAUCCGCGAGCAGUGCCGACAGCGCACUGGCCCGCGAGGUGAGUGCAUGCUGCACCGGCAGCUAGCACGCCGCGCACUACCGCAGUACGGCCUAGAUGCCCUACACGCAAAACGUCGCCGGUGGAGAAAGCGCGGGAAAGCGUGNNNNNNNNNNNNNNNNNNNNNNNNNNNNNNNNNNNNNNNNNNNNNNNNNNNNNNNNNNNNNNNNNNNNNNNNNNNNNNNNNNNNNNNNNNNNNNNNNNNNAAAUACCAACAAUUUUGAGUGCACCCAUUGAAUUAACUAUUGAUGCAAAAGAACCAAUGUUUAAUCAUUUUGAUAUGACCUCUAAUCUUGGUGAUGAUUCUGUGUUGAAUGACUUAUUGCAUGUUUGCUUAUUUAAGCAUGUUGUAGCAUGUAAAUUUGAUGCAAGUAAGGUUUAUUCACCAAUGUUGGGAUGGUUUAAUGAUGAACAUUGUCAAUCUUUUGAAAUGAAUAAGAGCUUCACUUAUAUGUGCAAACUGAGUUGCAAUAUUUUCAUGCCUUCUACUUCUUGUGCUAAUUUUUUGGCUUUAGAUUUUAUGAACUAUGCAAGUUACUCAUCUAUUCAUGUGUCAUAUAUGCAAAAAUCAAGGGAAGUAAAAAUGGAUGACAUAUACAUAUACAACAUGUACACCUUGUCUCUUUUGUUAGCCACAUUUCAGAUUAAGCAACGCCGAGGACGACUUUAUUUUCAAGAAGGGGAGGAUGAUAAGAACAUGACUACCUUGGAUAUGACCAAAAAUAUUGCAUAUAUGCAUAUUUGUAAGGUGAUUUCUAGUGCAAACUAUUCAAUAAUCUAUUUAUGUUAUCCAGAACAAAAAUACUUCACACACUUUUGUGUUUUGUCUAAUUGCAGGUGUAUGGGACAUUUGUACAAUCCACAUAUGAAGAUAAGGAAGAAAGAGAUGUUUAUUUGCUGUCCAAAAAGUUCUCUCACGUCAUUUUUGGCCCAAGAGAAGAUAGAGUCCAAGUCUCUCACGUUCUGGAUUCAGAUUCGGACUGCACAGACACACCUGACUCAAAACGCAAACAAGUUUUUCAUGCGGACUCCGAAUUGGGUGAUUCUUUUUUUGUUGGAAACUAGAUUUCGUGCACUUUCCAACCCAAUUGGAAUCACCUUCAAAUUCGUCCGGAGCGUUGAGUUGUGGACGAAACAAUCUGAUGCUGCAGCAGAAUCCGAGUCAAACUACAAGUCCAAAGGUGUUACAUCACCUCCACUUGGGCCCAUUGGCCUUGUACGACCUAGAUUUAGUUUUAGGCUGCCUUGGGACGUCCUCCCACCUCCUUGGCCGCCACCCCUUGCUCCUAUA